rnacentral:lncRNA from 1 species
UUUUUUUUGUUUGUAUCUUCAAUAAAGAGGGUGGGGAUUUAUUAGGGUUUUACCGGAACGGAUGAGGCCGCGGUUGUAGGAGCCUUUGCGGAGGGAUCCGCAAACCGCCGCGACCUUAAUCAUCGGUUUCGCCGCCACCGCUAAACCCUCCAUCUCGCUCUAGAUAUUGUAGCGAGGGCUUUUUUUGCAAAUAGCCCCAUAAAAAAUUUUAUUUUCGAAAAUAGCCCUGUGUAAAAAUUAUUUACAAAAAUGGCCCUGGCUCCGCCCCGUCAGCGCCACGCGGGCGGGGCUGGGCCAAUUGUAUAAGUUGAACACGGUGAAUCAUUCACCGUGUUCAAUACAAGAUUUUUGUAUUGGACACGGUGAAUGGUUCACCGUGUCCAAUACAAAUACAUUCGACUUAGCCAAAAAUGGCUAAGUUGUGGGAUUUUGUAUUGGACACGGUGAACCAUUCACCGUGUCCAAUACAAAAAUUUUGUAUUGAACACGGUGAAUGGUUCACCGUGUUCAAUAUAAACACUUGGCCCAUCCCGCCCGCGUGGCGCUGACGUGGCGCUGACGGGGCGGGACCAGGGCCAUUUUUGCAAAUAAUUUUUACACAGGGCCAAUUUAAAAAAAAAAAAUUGUCAGGGGGCUAUUUGCAAAAAAACCCCUUGUAGCGAAGUAUACAAUUGAGGCUCUAUCAAUUUAACAACAUAAUAAUAAGAGCGGUUAGAAGAUUUUGUGACCGUUAGAUUUAAUUUUUUAAUUAUUUUUAUUCGUUGGAUUAUACAAUUCAAUCAACCAUAUACGCAACCGUAGGAGAAACACAUCAUUAUAACUGUACAUUUCUCAAUCCAAGAACUAUAAAACUAAUAGUACCAACAGGUUGAUGUUAUUUGAUGUUAUUGAUAGUAUUCUGGUCUAAUUCGGAGUUUUUUUUAGCUUAAAUAAUAAGUGGACGAAAACACAAAGUUCACCCACAAAUUUUGGAACAAAAUUUAAUAGCAAAACUAUAAUAAUCGAAUAAUUUUUAAUCUAUGUGAUCAAAACGCUGUUUGGACCGAACUUAUCAACAAAAAUUGUAAUCAAAUUUAAACAAAAAUUUAUCUGUUUUUAUUAAAUUGUAUCAGCUGAUAAUACAAUCGUAAGUCCAUCCAAAUCUAAAGCUAAAUAAAUGGGUUUGAUUAAAUCAAAAAUCAUCUGUUUGGUGAAUAAAAUUACUAUGCAAUGUAGUGAUUUUUUGAAAUUUUUUAGAAAUUAAAAAAGAAAUCCAAAAAUAAUAACGUAAAAUGAAUUAAGAUGCCCUCAACUCUAGACUAUUUUGAAAUAUGCUCCUCAACUUUUUUUCCUUUUUUUGUUUUUAACAUCCCCACUCAACUUUUUUGAAAAAUUGAUGACUUAUAAUUUUAUUUGCUGAACAGUAAUUAAAACCAUAAGUUUAGCUAUAGCUAGCUUUAUUAGCUUUGGAAAAAAAAAAAUUUAAUUUAUUUAACCAAACUACCCACAUUAGACAAAAAAAAUUCUAAUAUUGACAAAAUGUUACAGGAGAAGAGAACUAUGAGGUAAGGGCCCAUUUAAAAUGUAGCCUAUAGAUAGUUUCAAAAUUGAAGGAACCGACCGGGACUUAACAGACUAUAUUUCAAAUCAUCUCAGCAUAAUAGCGCGGCAAAAAUCUUUUUUUUUUUGAGAGGAAAAAAAGAUAAUAUGUUACUUACUUUAUUUAUUUUUUUAAAAAAAUAAAAUUUACUAGAACAUUAAAGCAAUUAGAUUUUGAAUUUAAAACCUCACUUGCUAAUUAUGAAAUCUUUUGGCACUUGCACUAAAAACUUGCAAAUACCAAAUCUUAUAAAAAAGCUUGAUGAGAACCAUCAAAAAAGAAAAAAGUAUAAGAAUAAGAAAGCUAUAAAGUAUACAAAAAAUUUACGUCGUUCAACCAACGAUAUGCCGAUAUAUGCCUAUGGUAAAAAUCUCCACAAUAUAUUUUUUAAUUAAUCCACAGCACAAUAAAUAUAAGAAAUAGUUUUGGAUGCAAGAACCUCUCAAUAGACUCUCCCUCGUUUUCUCUCUCAAUUAGAGUUUGUUAAUAAAACUCUAAACUCUAAAACAAGAAUUACAAGGUUUAUAAAACCCCCAUAAUUCAAAAUAAGUAGAAAACAAUCGUCUAUCCAAAUCUCUCAAUUUACUUAUAACCAUUGAUCUCCACUUAAAAAUUCCUUACAAGGUGAUAUUGGAUCAUUUCUAAUCUUGAAGCAACUUUAACUUGUCGGUCAUGAUCUCUGGUUUCUUUUUUUUUUUAGAGACAAGUAGCAUGCUACCCGCUUCAUUUAUUUCAUUUAGAAAUAAAUUUAGCUGGAAAUGUGAAUCAACUAGAAUUCAAACUUGGAUUUCGGUUAUCAACUACCAAACCUUUUGCCACUUACUCUAGGAACGGUCGGUUUCGAAACUUAUACGGGGUGGUUUCGGAAUUUGACACUUUUCAUAGUGUCAUUAGUUAGAACGCAGACUAGGCGAUUAACAGAAAUCCAAACAAAGAUAUUUCCAAGCACAACCCUUCAAAUCAGCUUCAACACCUUCGAAUUUUAUAGAACGUGCUCCCAAAUUUCAGAAUAUUUUGACGUUUCGGAAUACCCGUUACUAGGUUUUGAAACUUAACAUCUAGAAAUCCGUAUCUUUGAUGCUCAACAGAGGAAUCGACUCGAAACGUGACUGUAAUUUAAUCCAGCAAAAUAACUACACAAUUUUUGCAAGAGCAAUUUUUCUCAAAACUUUAAGUAGAAAAUAAAAUUCAUACACAAGAUAAUUUAUAUACACGCUAGUCAUUUCAUUUAUUUUAUUUAAAAAUAAAUUUAGCUAAAAAUAUAAAUUAAUUAAAAUUCAAACUUAAGAUCUUAAAUAUCAGCUACCAAAUUUUUUGUCAUUUGUUUCAGAGAGGAUCGGUGCGUACUCAACUACUCAUUUGGUAGUUUGAAUGGUAAAUAAAUAGCAGAAUUUGGGGUGCACGAGACGAUUCAGGCUUUUGACCAUAUGGCCGGCUUAGUCAACAGAACAAAGUUUUGGCAAUAAAUUCCCAGGUACGGUACCAAAAGUAACUAACCAUUGAUUACUAGUACCAGUAAGGAUACCACAAAAAAAAAAAAAAUAGAAAAAGAAAAGGUCAAUACAUAUGUUCACUGACUCACGUGAAACAUAACAAAUAACAAAUAUAUAUUAUUAUAAAAUUUAAUUUUUAAUUAUUAUACUAGUAAGGAACACUGCGUGAUGGCGCGGAAAGUGAUACAAUAGUAAAUAUUAGAACUAUUACUCUGAAGAAUCAAACAGAAAAAGAAAGAGAACAAAUAGAAAUGCGAACUUAAUUGUCUAUUUUACCUGUAUGAGUAGUAGUAGGAAAGGCAGAGGAUGAAGAAGAGAGGAGCCAGAGUAUGGCCUUGGGGGCCAAAUUAUAAGUUUACAAAAAAAAAAAAAAAACACCCGCGCGAGCUCGCGUUCGCGCCGGCUCACGCCCGCCUCGUGCUCGUGCCACCCGCUCGCGAGCACCAUUUCGCAGGAAAAGAAACAGAAGAUAUAUAUCAAUAUAUAUGUGUAAUUCAUGCAUGGAAAAAUACAAUAUCUUUUUUAAUGCUUAGUCCACAACAACAGUAUAAAUAAUUGAGUAGGGCUGGCAAACGAGCGAGCCGGCUCGCGUCGACUCGUGUUCGCUCGAUAUUUGGCUCGCCUCGAGCUCUUGACUCGAAAUUAAAUGAGCGAGCUUGAACAAAAAAAAAAGCAUCAAAUUCAGUUUCAACCAGCCGAAGUCUGAUAUUACUCGCGCUCGUUCGAUUAGGCUCGAAAAGACUGAAAAGCUCGAAUAUAUAUAUAUAGCUGGUGACUACUAACUCUUAUAAGUAUAAGACCCUCCUUCUGUACUCAUAAAUUUUUAACACCGUUGAUUGAUGAGAAUGUGUGGUUAGGAAUGAUGUGGUCCCACUUAGAAUGAUAGUGUCCCCUUAGGUUGAGUGGGUGUUGGUUAAAUAUAUGAUCUAAACGGCAUGAAAAUGAUAAUGGAAUAAAUCUACGGGUCGACAUAAACUUAUGCCGACUCGUUUGUUGGGGUAAGGGUGGAAUAACCCUGAACGCCCGCACAUUAUAACCGCAAACACCACUCCUUUUGGGUGGGUUUAGUAAACCCCACCGCAAAACGCGGGUUAGUGAGGUUUACGAACCACCACUCACCCCUCCAACUUUAACCGCAGUCCCGCAGCACCCCGAGCCCACCUUUUUCUCUUAUCGAAUCAUUAAACCCGGCACUCUCCCCUCAUCAACUUUACCCUGCCAGCAAAUACCCGAGCUCCUCACUUUUUCUCUUUAUCAUCAUUAUCUCUAUGCCCCGUACUCCAUACCCAACAACACUUUUUUUCACUAUCUAGACUAAACUCAACUCAACCUCGCCAACCCAAACACAAAAAAUUUUACAACCAUAUACCUCUGAACUUAACCUAUCCCUGGGAAUAGGCUACUUUUUCUUAACCGCCCAGAACCAAACGGGGGCUAUGAUAUAAAGACCACAUAUCCAAAAAAUAGUAGCCGGACUCUAUAUAAUAGAGAUAUAUUAUAUAUAUAUAUAAUAUAUUAAUAUAUAUAAUAUAUAGUAUUUUUCAUUAUAGAUAGGCUUAAUAUUAAUAUUGGGCCAUUACUUGUUGCCAUAAAAUAAACCCAAACAAGUAACAACUGUGGCAAUAACCAUAACUCUAAAUUACAUAACCACAUCUCCGUCUUUCGACUGUCACUGUUGCAGCAAUAAUCCUAAUAAACAUGAUAAUCAUUCAAAUAACGCCUUAUUAAUAGCAGGAAAGUCAACCCUAAGCUUCAAAUUUCCAUUUAAUUAUUCUUGUAUUUUGAACUAUGAAUGUUGCAUCAAAUGUAGGUAAUUUCUAUAAAAAUUAAAACUAUUGAUUAUAUUAAGUUCAGAAUUUCAAAUCCGGACUGUUUAGAGCUCGCUCGACUCGACUCAAUUGGCUCGUCGAUGCCUCGGCCGAAUUAAUUCAAGCGAGCUUGAAGCCUAAAUUUAGCUCGAAAUAUUUCAAGCUCAAAUUUGAAGCUGACAUAUAGCUCUCUCGAGUCUCGCUCGUUUCCACCCCAUAAUUGAGAUCAUCGGAAUUGUGAUACAGAGAAAAAUUGAAAUAGAAAAAGAAAAGGUCAAUACAUAUGUUCACCUGACCACGGAAACAUAACAAAUAACAAAUAUAUAUUAUUAUAUUUAAUUUUUAAUUAUUAUACUAGUAAGGAAACUGCGUGAUGGCGCGGAAAGUGGAUACAAUAGUAAAUAUUAGAACUAUUACUGCUGAAGAACAAGACAGAAAAAGAAAGAGAACAAAUAAGAAAUGGAACUUAAUUGUCUAUUUUACCUGUAUGAGUAGUAUGUAGGAAAGGCAAGGAUGAAGAAUGAGGGAGCCAGAUAAAUGGCCUUGGGGGCCAUAAUUAAAGUUACCAAAAAAAAAAAAAAAAGCACCGCGCGCGAGCAUCGCGUCGCGCCGGCUCAAACGCCCGCCCUUCGUGCUCGUGGCCAACCCGCUCGCAGAGCACCAUUUCGCAGGAAAAGAAACAGAAGAUAUAUACAAUAUAUAUGUGUAAUUCAUGCAUGGAAAAGAUUACAAUAUCUUUUUUAAUGCUUAGUCCACAAACAAGCAGUAUAAAUAAUUGAGUAGGGCUGCAAACGAGCGAGCCCGGCCGCGGUCGACUCGUGUUCGCUGCGAUAUUUGGCUCGCCCGACUCUUUGACUCGAAAUUAAAUGAGCCGAGCUUGAACAAAAGAAAAAGCUCAAAUUUCAUUUCAAAGCCGAAGGUCUUGAUAUUUUACUCGCGCUCUGUUCGUAAUCUAGGCUCGGAAAAGCUCGAAAAGCUCGAAUAUAUAUAUAUAAGGCUGGAACUACUAACUCUAUAAGUAUAAAGACCCUCGCUUCUGUACUCAUAAAUUUUUAACACCGUUGAUUGAUGAGAUGUGUUGUUAGGAAUGAGUGGUCCCACUCUAGAAUGAUACGUGUCCCCUAGGUUGAGUGGGUUUGGUUAAAAUAUGAUCUAAACGGCAUGAAAAUGAUAAUGGAAUAAAUCUACGGGUCGCACAAAACUUAUGCCCGACUCGUUUGGUUGGGGUAAGGGUGGAAUAACCUGAACGCCACGCACUUAUACCCAAACACCACUCCAUUUUGGGUGGGUUAGUAAGACCCCACCCAAAACGCGGGUUAGUGAGGUUUAGCGAACACCCCACUCCCCUCCAACUUUACCCGCAGUGUCCCCAUGGGGCAUUCCCGAGCCUUCACCUUUUCUCUUUAUCGAAUCAUUAACCUCCACUCCCCCUCAACAACUUUACCCUGCCAUGCAAAUCCCGAGCUCCUCACCUUUUUCUUCUUAUCAUCAUCAUACUCUUAUGCCCCUACUCCAACCAAUACACUUUUUCAAUAUCUUAGACUAACUCACUCAACCUCGCAACCCAAACACAAAAAUUUUAACAACCAUAUAACCCUGAACUUAAAUCCAUCCUGGAAUAGGCUACUUUUUCUUAACCGCGAACCAAACGGGGCUAUGAGUAUAAAGAGCCAGUUCAUACUCAAAAAAUAGUAGCCGGACUCUAUAUAAUAGAAUAUAUAUAUAUAUAUAUAUUAAUAUAUUAUAUAUAUAUAAUAAUGUAUUUUUAAUUAUUGAUAGGCUUUAAUUUAAUAUUGGGCCAUUACUUGUUGCCAUAAAAUAAACCCAAACAAGUAACAACUGUGGCAAUAACCAUAACUCUAAAUUACAUAACCACAUCUCCGUCUUUCGACUGUCACUGUUGCAGCAAUAAUCCUAAUAAACAUGAUAAUCAUUCAAAUAACGCCUUAUUAAUAGCAGGAAAGUCAACCCUAAGCUUCAAAUUUCCAUUUAAUUAUUCUUGUAUUUUGAACUAUGAAUGUUGCAUCAAAUGUAGGUAAUUUCUAUAAAAAUUAAAACUAUUGAUUAUAUUAAGUUCAGAAUUUCAAAUCCGGACUGUUUAGAGCUCGCUCGACUCGACUCAAUUGGCUCGUCGAUGCCUCGGCCGAAUUAAUUCAAGCGAGCUUGAAGCCUAAAUUUAGCUCGAAAUAUUUCAAGCUCAAAUUUGAAGCUGACAUAUAGCUCUCUCGAGUCUCGCUCGUUUCCACCCCAUAAUUGAGAUCAUCGGAAUUGUGAUACAGAGAAAAAUUGUACACAAAUUCAGAUACUGCAAAAAAAUAGAAGAGUCGAUCAUUAGAGAAGAAAAGUUUGAAUAUUAAACUGCAGACUAAAGAAGGAUAUGGAAACGAAUCAAAUAGCAUAGAAAUAAUACAGGUGGAAACAAACUACUUUGGAAUGUAAAGUAUCGACAAAAUUCAAGAGCAAGGCAUAAGAGGUGCAGAUAAAUUCCGAGAAAGUAAAUGGACUAACAUGCAGGGCAAUCAAGAGGGAGGGCAUGGAACUGUGUGACAAAAGUGUGGAACAUAAAGUGCGCAAGAAAUAAAACGUGGAAUUAAAAUCUACACCUUUUGGAGCCACUAAUAAUCAGGAAUUGUGAUAAAUACCAAGACUCAAAUGAGCAGUUGCAGGCAGACUCAAACCCUGCAAACAACAAAAACUGAAAAUUUAAACAGAUAAUCAAUGUUUGUAAUCUUUGAAACACAAUUCUGCAUUGUAAAUUUUAAGCUUUCAAGUGUUAACCUUUUAACCUUUGAAUCCUGAAUUCUAAAAUGUUGUCGAUGCAAGACAAUAUCCAAAACUGCAAAUACAAAAUUCAAAAUUUUGCACCCCAAUUUUUCAUAUGUAAUUUUAACCUUUAAGAAUGCAGAAUUCAAAAUUCUGGAACACCGCCGCCGCAAUUUAGAUUGCUGAAUUUGAACCUUUCAUAUGCACCAAAUACCCUUAUGCAAAUUAGGCCAUAAUUUUCAAAUCGAAACUUUUAUAUGCACCAAGCACUUUACUGUGAUUCUGAAUCAUGUCUUCUAAUUUCUGAAUUUAGAAUUCAGCUAGAGAAUUUAGAAUUAAGCUAGAGAAUUGAGAAUUCAAAUAGGCAACCCGGAAUUCCACAAAGAAUAGAAGGGAAACAAAUAUUCUGUGCUCAGAUUCUCCAUGAAAUCGAACAUCAUUAGUUUGGCACCGAAGUAUCGUUAGUUAGUAGUGCUAGUUGUAUAAGAACUGCAAGCAUUUCAACACAAAUAUGAGGAACUGGUUACCUAUAGAAAGGCCAUCCAAAGUACCCCAUCAGCAGCGAAGGAUGGUUGCGCCCAUCUCAAUCACCGCAAUUAUUUGAUAUUCAAGGAGGAGAUCAUCAUAGCACGGAAAUUCAGGAUUAAGCUUUGCAAUUUGAAAUUCUAUGAAGAAUAUAAGAAAAAUAAAUAUCCUUUGUCCAGAGUUCGUAUUCUGAAUUCAGAACCCAAAUUUCGAAACCUGGAAAGCAAACUCACAUAUAUUGUUUCAUAUAAAAAGGAAGCUGUUGCAAAAUUAAGAAACCCUUUUUCUUUACCUACUCUUAGUCUGAUAGUGCAAUUCAGAUUCUGCAGACCUGAAUUAGGAACACAGGAUUCUGCUAGGCAAUUGGGAAUUCAGCUGGGCAAUACAGAGAAGGGACUUCUAUGGAAUUUUCAGCCAGCAGAAUUCAGCAAGGUAAUUUAGAAUUUAGCUAGCCAACUUAGAUUCCAAAUACAUGCAGCAUACAGUAAGGGCGAAAGAUCGAUACUUCGCAUGUUAUAAAAUUUCAACAAGAUGAUUUAGAAUUCAGUUAGACAACUUAGAUUCCAAAUAAAUGCAGCAUACAGUAGGGGUGAAAGAUCGGCACUUCGCAUGUUAUAAAAUCUUAGAAUUAAACUGCAAUGCUGACAGCCAAAAGCAAAGCACGUAAAUUUCCAGAGAAAAAUAGGACAAAAAUUAUUGACUCGUUAAAUUCGAACCUCGCCAACACGAAGCAAAUCGAUGCGUAUGGAAAGCAUGACCAAGCAAAACAGCAAACCUGUCGAAUAAUUUAAACGAAGCAAAACAGGAAAGUUUCUAUCAUAUGAUUUGGCAACACAGUGUGAACUAUAAGUAAGACUUUCACAGCGAGCAGAAAAUUAUUUAGUGUGUAGUAGAGCUACCAGCUAUACAACAGGGCCCCUAGCAAAAAACCCAAAAAGAAAAGCCCGCCAUUCUGUCAAUUCCCACCACCAUAAUAACCCGGAGGCGCUGCAGGGUCCUCCUCAGAAGCACUCCCGCUACUACAUGGGCGGACAACAGUAGUUUUCGGACGUUUCACCAAAGUAAAACACUUAACCAAAUUCUCCUAUCCUUUAUAUUGACUCAAAAAAGAAAAGGUUAGCAUAAAAAACACAACAAAUUCAUGUAUGCGAAAAAGAAUAGCAGAAAAAUAGCUAACAAUUAAUGGCUAAGGGAAAAAAAUUGUAUUUGGCUUGUCCACUGAACUUCAAUUAGAUUAGCUAUAUAAUAUUUUCAAAUGUGUUACAAUGGAGUUUUAUUUCUUAUCGAAACUUAAUCUAAGAAAAACAUAAAGUAAAAAAGGAAUAUAAACCAAAACAUUACGAAAUUAUCGACAAAUAAAUAAAAGAAUAAUCAGGAAGCUCUACGAAGUGCGUAAAAAAAAAAAAGCAACAGUCGGCACAAAGCUACCAACUUGCUCCAAAUAAAAAAUUGGGAAAAAAUUUCCAAUUUUUACAUCUGUUAAAUGCUAUUUUGUAGUAAAUAUUUCAUCUUUUUUUUUUAAAUUGACAAAAAAAAAAUACCGAUGCUAAAUCUGGAAACCGAACAAAACUGCAAACAAACUCCCCAAAACCAAACAAAACUACAAACAAACUCCCCAAAAAGUUUGUUGUGAGAAAUCAAGGAAAGCAUAUAUAAACACUUGAAUGUUGUUUUUACCUAUCGAUCUCCUGUAACACUCAAGAGCACCACAAGGCAAGAACGACAAGACAAUAGCGCUCAACAACAGGGGACAAAAAUCAGGGGAAAUUAGAGAAAAAGACGAGUGGGGGGGGAAUGCCAAACCGUUUAGUAUUUAUAAUAAUAGCCAGAGAGAGGUAAAGCAGAAAAGAGAGCGCGAGAGAGCCCGCGAGCGCCAUGCCUCACGCGAGAUGGGCUGCGAUCGUGUUAAUUAAUGCUCUUUAAUGCACGCUAACCACCAACCAUAGGGAGAAGCCACACCGGGCUGUUCAGCCGAGAACGUGCGGUGGAGGAAAAGUCGCGGCCCAUACCACUGACGGCACAACGCCACCCCCGAGUUGUACGGGUUGUCGGAAGGGAGAAGGCGAACUGGAUGGCGGACGGGACAGGCAACAGGGCGAGAGAAGGCGGAGAGUACGGGAGAAGGCAGACGGGAUGUCGGACGGGACAGGCAACAGGGCGAGAGAAGGUGGAGAGCCAUCGGACGGGACAGGCAACAGGGCGAGAGAAGGCGAAGAGGCGCCAUGACGAAGGCGGAGAGGACGAAAGGACGGCGAGGGGGGCAACGCCGCGUCGUAUGGGAGAAGGCGGCUGCGUUCCCGAGGGAGGACAACGAUGGCGUCGCGGCUACGAAACGAAGGCAGAGAUGACGGAGGGUGAGCGGGGGGUGGUAACGCCGCGCCGUACGGGCAAAAAAAAUCAGAGCGGGGGGAGGGGGCGCCGCCGUACGGGAGGGCGGAGAGCGCGAAACGCGGGGAGGGCUCGAAGCCGAUCUUCCUUUCAUAAGCUUAUAUUGAUUGUAAAAGUUCAGUAAUAUUUAUAUUUGUCCCGCUAAUUUAUUACGUUUAUUUUUUAACAGUAGAUACGUGAAAUGUUAAUUUUACAAUUACAAAUAUAUCUCUUUAAAAACCUCAACUACUAUAAUUAUUCAGAAAUAUUCUUUCAAAAAAUUUUAAUGGUUACUUUUUUCCUCAUUUCUUUUUCGUUAAAACCCAACACCAUCCAUAUUUAUUGUAACAUCUUCUCUCACACUUAUUUUUUAAAACCAUUUUUUUAAGCAAAAUAAGAAAAAAUCUAAGAAAAAUUGAAUGGACAAACAACACGUGUUCGACAUGAAAAAAGUAACACGCAUCGUGGAUGAAUGGGGACGGGAGAAAUUUCGAUACCGGAUUCGAAAUUAGCAUGAAGGAGAGAGAGGAAGAAGAAGAGAAAGAAAAAUAGUUAUCGUUGCUAGGUUUUGAUUGAGAGAAAAAAAUUUAAUAUAAGAGGAAUAAAAAUAUUAAUUUAUUUUAUUAAUUAAUUAAGGUUAAGUAUUUUAUCUAUGAUUAAGUAAAUUUUUCUAACGAAUUCUCACGACAGGACAUAUUUAAAAAUAUUAAAAAUUUUACAUAAAUAAUAUAAAAAAAUUAAACUUUAUAAAAAUAUAUUUAUAAUUCGAUAUAUUCACAGAAAGCUACGUGUAAUUAACAAAAAAAACACACACAAUCUUAGUGAACGCCUGCAAGUAGGGUCCGAACCCGACACCGAAUAGUUGUGGGAUCCACCUGGCUCGUAUAAACCAUACAUCGAAGUACACGGCAUGGGACCCGCACGCGAACCAACCCAAAAUCAAGCUCGAAAACACCAUCGAUCUCUCUCUCUCCCCCUCUCUCUCACACACACGCUUCCAUGCUAAGCAAAAGCCAAUAAUGCAGCAGCGUCGUUAAAGAGAAGGGAUCGAUAGAUUCGUUUAGAAACUUUUUAGAGAUUUUUUCUUUCUCUUAAGUGGAACACGGUUUUAUUAAGUAAUUGGUAUUUAAGAGUACGUACAAAGCAAAGAGAAGAGGAUAAUAAAAAGAAACUAUUUACAGAAAGCAAAUCGGUAGAGAAGAAAGGUUUUAAAAAUUGAAGAGAUAUGCAAAUGCAGAUACACAACUCUAUUAAUUUUGAAGCUGAUAAAUGUAUGACUAGUUGAUUUAGAUGUGGAGACGCGAGAAACGGAAUCUUUAGAGAUUUGAUAAAUAGAUUUUUUAAAUAGUAAAACCUUUUUCGACUAUUCGGGAAAAAAAAAAAUCAAAAGUAAAUUCAUCCUAUAUUUCUAUCUCAUACUUUAUUUCCAUGUGCAAGAAGCGGAAAAAAAAAAAACCCCCUCCCACUUUAUAUUUUAAGGCGUAUGUUCGUUAGCAUUACUAUUUAAUUAGCACCUUAAAAAAGGAGGACAAAUUAAAUUAUUUGAUAAUUAACUUCAAAUGAUUUAAUUAUUAAAAUUAAAAAUAUAAAAGAUUAUUCGUCAAAAAGCUCCAAAGUUCAGAGUUGUCUUUACAAUUUUCAACUUAGGGGGGAAAAGAAAAAGAAAAAAAAAAAAGAAAAAAAAAAAAAGAGUAGCCGAAAGAAGCGAGAUCUCCAUCCCGCAUAUAAUAAUAUCUCUCUUCUUUGUGUCUUUUGCUGUUCACGAUCGCCUCUCUCUUUUUUUUUCUUUUUAUUUUGUUUCUUUCUUGCUUCGUCAAAAAGAAAUGGACAGGGCACUCUUCUAUGUUUUGUUUCUUUUGCUUUUGGCCCCUUUCCUUUGGAUUGAGAAAGAGAGGCAAGUGGAUAAAGAGAUCAUCAUUGGUAAGCUCACUUUAUUGCUGAUGUGCUGAGUUUACCAACUGCUGGGGAAUAUUGCUAACGUGAAAUACUUCAUACAAGUUCAAUUUCACUGCUUUGCUAGGUUUCACUCGUAAAACUCUUUUCUAUUUUUCAUGCACCGGACGAUUUCGACGCUCAACUAAUAAUUAGAUGAAUCUAAACCACCGAAUUGGCUCGUUAACCUCCCUUCCGCAGCUUUGCCACAAUAACAUGGGCGUAUGUCCAUCCAAAGUGACGAGGAGUCUUAACUUUGGGAACAAGCGACCGUGAAUGAAUCACUACUUUUUCUGAACGGACGGUGAGAAGAUCUUGUAUAUAUAUAUAUAUAUAUAUACCCAACACACGGGACUGUAGUCAAGAUGCUUACGGUGUGUUUGUUUUUGCGAAAGUCCAGCGAUCAACUCGUGAGUUCACGUAAUUAACCCGACUUCACCUGCGUUUGAACGUAUCCACGAACUUGAAAUUUCGUGGGAUCCACGCAUGCAGGCCGCUCGCAGGAUCAAUCUCACGUGGCGGCGAACGAAUUAGCAUGCGGCACGAAUUCACGACUUUGUGCUCGACGAGCGAUGUCGAAUUCUACCAUACGGAGGAAACUCAACUCGGCAGAUUUCGACAAACUGCAGCUUUGCGAAAACAAACACGCCCUCAUAUAAUAUUUCAUGCAAACACUCAACAAAAGUAAAUUACACAAUAGUUAGAGAACACGCGGCUAUAUCGAUCAUAUCAAGCGCGUCUAGGAAGAAAUUAGUAAGCAUGCAUGCAUGCAUGAUGGGAUGGAAAAACGGGAAAACACACUCAAACACGAGCGCAGAAGAUCUUACGCAAUUAACUACACCAACCACCAACAGUAACCACACAUUCUCCAGUAUACAAAAAUAGAAAAGAGAAAUAGCUAGAUGAAGGAAAUUGAACAAUAAAAUAAAAUAAAAACAGGCCUCACCGAGCUUUUAAUCUCUAAAUCUUUGAGAUAUGACCUUGCAUUGGGAGUCGGAGAUUCAGUGCUUCCCGAGACUUCAUACCAGUAUCCUAUCCUACCAUCUCCUGUAUAUCACUGCUUCGCAUUUCUCUAUUCUAUAUAUAUAUAUAGAUAUGCUUCCAUUACUCAUAACAAAAAACCCAAUUAAUUUGGCUACGAUAAGUAAAAGAACCCUCUUCCUUAGACCUAGUUUAAAGCUCCAACAUUUUAAAAGAUCCAAAAAGUUGAUUUUUUUUUUGUCUUUUGAAAUUUUUUUGAAUCCUGUAAAAUAUCAAUUAAACCAGGUGCGUUUACAGCUGGGACCUUUUUACCUGGCUGGCUCUUUUGCUACCGCGAGAACGUUGGUGUUUUCGACUGUGUAUGUUGUUUUCAGUAGUGGUGGGAGGGGUGAGGAGGAGGCUGCGUCGACGGAGCGCGCGCGGAGGAGGGCUGGGCCCACAAGACCAUGUCGUGGUGGUGGGGGUGGUGGUGGUGGUGGUGAGGGCCGCGUUGCCAGUGGGGGCGGCGGCGGAGAAGGAGAGGGAGGAGGCGAAGGCGAAGGCGAAGGCGACGCCGAGGAGGGUGGUGGUGGUGGUCGUGGACGUUCCGCGGCGUCGUCAAGUGCCACAGCGACCGCCCCCGCGUCCCCGUCCAGUAGCCCCCGUGCCAGCGCCCCGGCGAGUGACGCCGCCCCUGCCACCACCACCACCGCCGGUGGAAGCAGUUGGGGCUCAAGGUGUCCGAGGGGAUGGGAUGGAGGCGCGGCCGCCUCCUCCGCCGCGGCCUUCUCCUCCUGCGGCUCCUCUUUCUGCUGCGGCGACGCCUCCGGCUGCGCUUGGUCCACCGCGGCGGCGGCGGGGAGAUGCCACGAGGCCGCCGCAACUGGCCAGUCAACCCGGCGGCGGUGGGGGUGGGGGUGACCGUGNGCCGCAGCGGAAGCGGAAGCGGAAGCGGAGGAGGGAGAGGAAGAGGCGGCGGCGGGGGUGAAGGCGCCGGGAGGGAGGAGGGUGCCGGAGAGGGAGAGGAGGUCGAAGCGGCCGUGGAGGGCGACGGUGGAGGCCGGGGCGGAGGGGUGGCGGAGGGCGACCCCGGCGACGGCGCCGGAGCCGCUGAGGACGGAGACGCCGACGCGGUGGCGGAGGGCGAAGGCGGAGACGCCGCCGAGCACGUCGCAACCCCCGCCCACCUCCAGCACCACCGGCCGCAUCGCCGCCUCGCUCUCCCGCGUUAUCACCACCGGCGGCUUCGGCUUGUUCUUCGACCCCGGCGGCCUCCCCCGCGGCUUCCUCCCCCCCGACCCCGACCCCGACCCUCCUCCCAGCCCCCGCGCCGCGGCGCGCCGCGCGCUGCUGCUGCUCCCGUCGUCCUCCUCUCCGGCGCCGGCCGCCUCCGCGUCGGACGCGUGGCCCUGCGAGAGCGCGAUCAUGGCUUUGUUAGGGUUCGCAACGUACUCCGCCAUGGGCGCAACAACACCGGUGCUCGAGUGUGGGGGUAGGGGCAGGGGAGGAAAAGUGCGGGGGUUAUAUAGAGGGAGGAAGAGGACAAAAGUGGGGGUUAUGCGGGUUGGGGAGGGUCAUCCGGACCGUCCGUUGGGUUGGGACGGGAAUCUUGACGAGACAUGUCGUUUUCGGGAAGGAAGGGGUUUGGGGGUGUUGGGGGGUGCGGAUUCCGAGGAGGAGAAGAGUUCAGUUCAGUGGGGUUACGGCGUGGCCCUGAAACGUCCAAUCGACCGGUUGGCUUGGCUAGGCUGACCGGCUGGGCCCGCGCAGAGAAACUGAGAGGAAACGUCGCCAGCACCCGGUGCACCACGCAUCUGGUGCACCGGAUAUGCUGGAGUAGCAGCUCAAUAUGCUGCAGCAAUUUAUUAUCUUUGCAAUCUGUAAUAGUAUAUAGUACUUACACGUUAUAAUUCAUGUAUUAAUUCUUCGAAGGUAAGUCAUACGACUUAUAAAUGCUGCAUAUUAUUUGUGUUUAAUAUGUUGCUGCACAUAUUUGUCUAUAAAAUGCUGCCUAAAUUAUAAACUAUUAUUUUUAUUUUUAUUUUUAAAUAAAUAAAAUACUCAAUAAAUAAAUAAAUUAUUAAAAAUAAAAAUAAUUUUAGAUUUGAAGAGUAGAAUAUUUAAUAUAGGAGAUAAAACAGGUGAUUGACCUAUUAAACUGGGCAUUUUAAUUAUAUAUAUAUAUAUAUAUAAACACUACAAAUAAUGGCGGUGCACAGAAUGUACUGAUGCACGUGGUCCUCCCUGGCUACGGCAUUUGCAGUAAUUUUGGCUUCAUUCUUAAGUCAAAUCAGUGGGACCCACCGGGCCGUAAGAAGGUGGUUGGGUCUCUCCAGCUGUUAGGGGUUUUUUUUUUUUCUUUAAUUGGUCAAAACUCAAAUGAACCAGUUUGGUGUCAACAAUUAAUGGAAUCGUUAGUUUGUUUCCGUGGUCUAAGUUAAGACCAACGGUUAAAGCUAAAGCUACAAUACAAAUUUUGCUGUGUUUAAGGUUUGGCUUCAACAUGGCGAAUUCUCCUGCAUCCAGUCAAAAGGCUCAGAAGAAGCGCGUUGUCGCGGGCUUAAACUAAAUUGCUUGUUUAGCUCGUGUGGCAUUGAUAUUUCUUUGUGAAUUGGGCCAGUCUAUCUCUUUACUAGCUAAGUUAAAACCUACUCAUUCUAAAAUAAAGAACAAUAGAGAGAGAUGAAGAAAGCACUUCUAUUACUCUUGAAGUGGAUUACAAAUAAGAAUUCUUUCUUAUGAGACGGGAUAGAGGCAACAACCUUAUAUAGGCCACUCGCCAUCCAGACUACAAAUGAAAAGCGUGACGCAUAUUACAAGACAAAGAUAAAGGUUACAAGCUUCCAGAAGACUAAUUAUUCUCUCUAGAAACUUUAAAGAACUCUUGACCAUUAGCCAUUCGCACUAUCAGUCUUGAGAUCCGCGUAAAAGUUUCUAAAACAUCCCAGCAAAACUUCCGACAGAACGCUCCUUCAAAGAUUUGGUCACUGUCAAGAAGAAAUCAGUGAAAAAUAUUUUGUCCAUGAUAAGAUGCUCUAAAUAUUUAUCUUUUAGUAAUAUUCAUAUAAUUUUUAUUAGGAUCAAUGCAUCAUAAUGUAAAGAUAAUCAAUAAAUCUUUAUUAUAUAAUACUGGAUUAUAUAUAUAUAUAGAGAGAGAGAGAGAGAGAGAGAGAGAGAGAGAGAGAGAGUUGUGCUGGUAUGCUUAUAGAAGCACGAAGGUCUCGGUGCUUCCAACUCGUUUUCGAUGUUCGGACUUUCGAAUCGACGUUCUGCUCGAUCCAUUAGAGUUGAUCUAGAGUAUUUGAAGUACAUAGAAAAUAAAUUUUGCGAUUUUUCGAUAUCAUUUGCCUAGUGAUCGAAGGGGCUCAAAAUCAAUAAUUUUAACAGCCGUGGUGAGCCGGUUGCAAGUUUAACGAUGUAGAAAUAUUCAAAUCAUAUGAAAUUUUGAUAGAAAAUUCUUUAUACCAUAUAAAACAAGAUCAAUAACUUUGAUCUAAAAUUUUAAUGUCAUAUCAUUAUAUUUUGUAAGAUUUUUAUUUUCAACCGUUGAUUUUGAGCCACUUCGAUCACUAGGCAAAUGAUAUCGAAAAGUCGCAAAAUUUAUUUUCUUGAUACUUCAAAUACUCUAGAUCAAGUUUAACGGAGCCGAUCGUCGAUUCGAAAGUCUGAACAUCGAAAACAAAGUGGAAGUACGGAGCCCUCCGUGCUUUCAUAAGCAUCCUAGCUUCACUCUCUCUCUCUCUCUCUCUCUCUCUCUAUAUAUAUAUAUAUAUAUAUGGCUAAAUUACACAAAACCCCCCCUGUAAUAACCCGCUUUUUUACUUUCCCUCCCUGACAUUUAAAAACCUACACUUUGCCCCCCUGUAAAAUGAAAAAUAUUCACAGGGGGGUUAUGGUGUGUAAAAUGACCAUUUUGCCCCUCGCCAUUGUCGUCUUCUUUCCCAUCUUCCUCAGCCGCCCCUUCGUUCGGCCGCGAUUUCGACCUCAAUCGGCCGCGAUUUCUCUCCAUUUCCUUCUCCACCUGCUCCUCUUCUCCUCCUGCACCCUCGCCGCCCUCGAUUUCGGUGACAGUAGGAGAAAAUCGAGGUGGGCGACAGUAGGAGAAUGGCAAAAAAGGCGAAGGCGAGGCGGCGGAGGACGACGAAGGGGAUGUGGGUGAGGGUGAGGCAGUGGAGGACGGCGAAGCGGCUAGGCGGCGAGGCGGCGAGUCGACGGCGAGGUGGCGAGCCGGAGGGAGUCGAAGCAACAGGGAGAUGGCAGAGGGGUAUUUUCGGUAUAAAAAUAUAUUUUUUAACGGAACCCUGACGGAACCCUAACGGUAGGGGGUGAAGUGCACAUUUUUUAUUUUACAAGGGGGCAAAGUGUAGGUUUUUAAAUGUCAGGGAGGGAAAGUGAAAAAGCGGGUUAUUACAAGGAGGUUUUCUGUAAUUUAGCUUAUAUAUAUAUAUAUAUAUAUAAUAGAGCUCCUAUACUUUUAAAAAUACCAAGUUAUUGGUGCUUGUAGAUUUUUAGCCAUUGGAUUAAGAGAUAUGCGGUUAGAAUGAUGUGGGUUCUCUAGGGUUGAGUGAGUGGUUGGUUGAAUAGUAUAAUUUAAUGGUUGAAAAUGAUCCGAGAAGUAAAUUUAACCGUAAAAAACUUACAAGCACCAAGUGCUUGGUGCUUUUACAAGCACCAUAGCUGGACUCUCUCUCUCUCUCUCUCUCUCUUUCUCUCUCUCUCUCUCUCUCUAUAUAUAUAUAUAUAUAUAGAAUUAUGCUACUAUACUAUCAAUAGUACCAAGCUUUUGGUAAUAUUGAGUUUUCGGCCGUUGGAUGAAAGAAUGUGCGUUUAGGAUGAUAGUGGCCCCUAAGGUUGAGUUGGUGGUUGGUUUAAUAGUAUAAUCUAACGGGUGAAAAUGAUCAAAGGGUAGAUAUAUAUAUAUCAAAGAGUUUAAUAAAAUAAUAAUGAAAUAAAUUAUUAUUUUAAUAUAAAAUAAUUAUGAUAGAAAAGAUUCUUUCAACUUGACUUUUUUAUAUUUGUUAUUGCUAUGAGCCUAAUUUUCAGACCGUUGACCCGAUCAACGAUCCCCCAUGAGAAGGUAGUGUGUAGGGAUGCGGAAAGGCUACAAAUGGUGAUCCUCGAAGUUUGCGCCCUUCGGCAGAUCAAGCGAUUCAGCUGAUGAGAUAUCGGAUCAGCCAAGUUUGUUUCUUUUAUUACUAAAUUGGUUCCGCUGUAUGAGCCGAGUGGGGAAUUACACAGUGUCUUUGGGUCGACUGAAGAGCCUAAUGCUUGUAUAUUGCUUGAAGUUGAAAAUUCGUACAAAAUAGGGUAUACUAGUGCGCCGAAGAACAUCUAAUUUAAAGACUAAUCCUAAGAAAACAGUAAAUGUAAGAAAAAAAGAAAAAAUUACAAUUACACUACUCCUAGAAAGCGAGAAAAUGUAUAAAAUUGAAAGUGAUCUUCUUGUUCGCAGAAAAAAAAAAAAAAAACUCUUUUUUAGGCGUUACUUGUUUAUUUAUACUCUGUCAAUUGUUAUUCAGUUAUCCACUCGGCCAGUUUUCUAUUUUUAUGGGUUCACUACAGGCCGAUUCUAACCGCAUGGAACCGUCGACGGUUUGCUAUGAUUCAUCCUUUGCUCCCGAUGCAGCAGAUACCCGAUGUUCUUGGCUUUUGCAGCUUUUAGUCAUAUUGUGUACCGAUCCACCAUGUGGCGCUUUUUUUUUUUACGCCAACCGUUAUUCUUAACUAAUUUGUAAUGUAUAGACUAUAAGAAUUCUGUCAUGGGAUCUUCAAAUUUGCAAUUUAUAAGUUCUAAACUAAAGCUCUUUUAAUUACAUUUUAAGAAUAAAAAAGAAACAACACUAAUAUUCCACUGGAUAUGUAUAGCUUGGUAUUUUAUCCGGACCAGCUGCUGCAACCAUUUUCCUUCUUGGUUCGUGUGCAUUACACCAUUUUCCCUCUUCGUUUCCAAAGUUAAGGCAUUGAAACACCCCAAGCUAAGAGAGAGAGAGAGAGAGAGAGAGAGAGAGAGAGAGAGAGAACGAAAACAUGUUGUUCUAUUGUAAGCAGUAGCCCACGUCCACGCGCCAUCAUGUCAUAGGCGAUGCGCUCCACGUGGCGCUGUCUAAUUGGCUAGGCUCUGUACUUCAAUUUUUUUAAAGAAAAAACUUUUACCUCACCCAAAGUAUCUAGUCGAGGGUGUUAAAUAUAAAAUAUUAAUAUUAAAUAAUAAAUAAUUAAAAAAAAAAAAAGUAAAAAAGCGCGGAGGGGGAGAAGCGGAGCGGUGUAACAACAGUUUUGAGAACUGUAAAAAGCUGGUGGGGUGUUCGCGUUUGGGAGCAGCUGAGUUUUCUUUCUCCAGGCUAUGUAGCUUGUAUCGCGUGCUCUCCUUUUGCAGCAAAAGUACAGAGUACUUGACUUCACUGUAACAUGCUCUCAUCCUAGCCCUUCAUCCACUGUGAGUUUGUGCGCAAGUCAAAAGCUUCUGGGUGAAUCAAUUGCUCUCUGCCUGAACCAGCAUUUUUGACCUUCAGAAUCCCUUUUUCUUUUUAAGCAAAGUAAUCUCCAGUUUGAGUUCUCUGUUUUUUUUCUUUUUUUAAAAAAAAAAUCUUAUUUUUACAAUUCUCUGUGGCACUCAUAGUUAAGUAUACGUUAUUAUUUGUUUUUAAGAAAAAUUACUAUGUUACCAUUUUAUUCAUAAGAAAUAUGAAUUUCGAAGUACGAAAAGAAAGGAUAAAGAAGAACAACAAAAACGAAAAAUAGCCCCUAAGCGCGCUAAAUAAAGUUUCAAAUAAUUUCGAUGCAAUUAUUCAUGCAAGACUUUAAAAACUCGGGAAUAAAUUAAAUAUAAAAUAUUGUAAAGAAAAACAUUCAUGCCGGCCUGCCGGGCUUUGUCGCGUCUUGAGCCAUACCGUACUGGGCCCCCAAAUCGGCCUCGGGCAGCCCGGUUGAGUCAUUUGUGCUGGCCCAUGGGCCAACGCAGUCAACCGAGCCGAGACGGCUCAUCGGCCGCCCGGCUCGUUUUAUAUCUCGCUUUACAUUUUCCCCCUCUCCGCUUGAGCUGAUGAUGCCUUCAAUUUUUUGCCAAGGUCACAUCUGGGAUUGCAGUGAAUUGCUUUACGUGCGGUGAGAUAGUACAAUGAAAAGAUAUUUUGUUUUUAUUUUUUUUUGUGCGAAAUGUCACGUUAUGUUUAUCACAUUAAGUUGAUUAAAUAUACUUUUCAUAAUCCUAAAACAAGAAAAAAAGAAAAAAGAAAAAUACAUGUCUAUGCACUUUCCUCCUAUUUAUGGUCUAAAGCAUUAAAACGAAUACUUCUUAUCGACAACACAAUCCCGAACUAGGCUUUACUCAGCUAGGCACGGACCGUGUACGGCAUAUAUAUAUCGAAUUAAUGACACCUCACUAAUUAAUUACCACACACACACACACACACACACACACACACACACACACACACACACACACACACAAUUAAAGUGUAAAAUUACCUUCGCACUCAUGAAAAGUUACAACAAUGAAACGAAAACGAUUUCUUGUACAUAAACACAAUAAGAGAGCGUAAAAGAAAUCACUCAGAUUCUUAUACAAGAAAUUGGAAAUUAAUAUAUAAAAAAUCUACAUUAUUGGCACCAUAAGUAGAACAUUACAGAUAUAUAUCAGCGCGCAGAUGCCGCGAUCCUCAUCUUGCCAAUAGAAGCACUUCCCCCUCAUGCUCCCCCCGUACUCAUUGAUGAGAAGUGUGUCCAAAGGAUACCUGUAGAGGGAGACGUAGUACAUGAAGAGCCAGUACUUUGGUAUGCUCUCUUUCGGAAGGAAGUAGCCGGAGAAGAGGAAGAAGACCCCCAGGAAGAUGCAUAUGAGUGAGUUGCCUAACAUGAAAUCGCGUGAGAUCGCGCUGAGGAAGAGAACUAGAGAACUCGCCAUUAACACGAUCAACCACACAACAAACACGAAGAACACGAACGCGCUUAGCGUGGGGUUGAGCCCUACAAGCCAGUAUAUAGGAAUGGCGAAGAGAAGAGCCACCGCGAGAAGGAAAGGGAUGAAAACUACGGUGUUGGCUAUCAUGUAGGAAGAGAUCCGAUACAUCCGCCGCGACGACUCCCUCAUCAAGACGCGCUGCUCCUGGAGGAAUAUCGGGAGCGCCUCGACGGUCGAGGAGAGGAGGAAGCUGAGGCUGAAGGCGAAGAGGCCCAGCCGCUCUGCCACCCCGUUGGGGCUCAUCUUUAACCGUAGGUACACGCUCCCGAGGCCUAAUCCGCCGACGAUCGCCUGCAUCGUCCUCGCGAGGAAUAGCUGCUUCGUCCGAUACAUGAUCUUCGCAAAUCGCGAAGACAGAGAAACCACCUCCUCCGAUCUGGAGCAGCAGUAAUAAUCCCUCGAGGCUUCGUGUUCGAGUUCUCCUUCCGCUUCUUCUUCUUCUACAAUUGAGUCCUCACUUUGGUGCAACUCCUCGCGCUUGAUCAAUUUAGUAUACUUGGCAGUGUACUCCUCUAGUUGAUCAGUGAUCUCCAUGGCGUACUCUAAGGGAUUGAGUUGCGCCGGGAUCUUCAACCCCAUGCGAGCGAUGGUGUCUUCAAGGGAUCGGAGGCUACCGCAGUGAGCCACGGUGCCAUGUAAGAGGAGCAAGAAGGUCGAUACGUACCGGAGCAUCCGGUAGCUAGGCUGAUGAAUUGUUAGUACUAAAAUCUGUCGCCUCGCACGAGCCAUCGAAGCGAGUAGUUCGACUACCUGCAAAGCCGACCGGCUGUCGAGGCCGGAAGUGGGCUCGUCGAGGAGGAGAAUCGGCGGAUCGUGUAUCACGUCGACCGCGAUCGAGACGCGCUUGCGUUCGCCUCCGGAUAUCCCUCUAUUCUCCUCGUCUCCGACGUAGCUUUGCGCGACGUGUUCGAGGCCCAAUUCCUGCAUGAGGGCCAUAACCCUCUCCUCCCUCUCCCUCGAGCUCGCGCCUCGCAGUCGGAACUUGGCGCUGAACAUCAGCGUCUCUUUCACGGUGAGCAGCGGCAGGAGGUUGUCUUCCUGCGUGACGAACCCGCAUAGUCUGCGCAGCUCGGCGGGCCGCGUGAUAGGCUGGUCGUUGAGCGUGAUGCUCUGCUGGUCAAACUUCGACGGUUUUACCCGGCCCGAGAUCACGCGGAGAAGGGUGGACUUCCCCGCGCCGCUCGGGCCGACGAUCGCAAGGAUCUCCGAACUCCUCGCGGUGAACGACACCGACUUGAGGAGAUGUGUCGGCUCGGCCUUGCGGGGGGAGAAGCAUGUCGAUGGCAAAAGGAUGUUAAAUUGGGGUCGGCGGCGGACGGUGUAGGAGAGGUCGGCGAUGGCGAGAGUGGACGCGGGGACGAGGGCGGAGCUGACGGAGGGGGGAGGGGAGGAGUGGUAGAAGGAGGAGGAAGGGGAAGUGGAGUCAUGGGGGGAGUCGGAGGUGGUGGAGAGGUCGAAGCAAAGGUCGUCCAUUGCCGGAGCGAUGAGGAGGGACGUGUGGUACGUUGUGGGAGGGGAGGGAAUGGAAAAAUGGAGGGAGAGAUUAAAGAUUAUGGUUUGCACACAUGAGGAUAAAUUAGCACAUGCACCCGGUCCACCGUAAGCAUGUCCAUCUAGCACUGUUUUGGAAGCAUAGACAAUAAGAAGUAUAAUCAAAUAUCCAAAAUACCAUGACUUUAGGAUUGCGGAAAUAAGUACGAUAGAAAAAUAUUAUAUUUAUUUCUGUACAUAAUAUUGUGUUUCGCAUAUCGCAAUAAGUUGGUUAUGAUAUAUUUUUCGCGGUCCCACCGAAAAACGCAGAAGCAUAUCCUUAUAUAUUUUUACCCUAACUCUAUUUUAUUUAGUAGCAUCAGAUAAGCAUCCAUACCAAACUAAGCCUAUAUAUAUUUAAUUUCCAAAUUAUUUUUAAAAAUAAAAUAAAUUAUUUUAUAAAUAAUUAUGCUAUUUUGUUUUGGAAGGAGUAAAAAUUAGAGUUAUAUCUUACCGCCAUGUAAAAAAAUUCAUGCUAAGUAAGUUAUUAUCGGAUAAUUUGUUUCAAUAUUCAAACAUGAUCUUAUAAUAUGACAAUACAGAUGUAAAAAUUAUAAUUAAAUUCGUCAAAUAUACUGUAAAUAUUUAAAAGAUCUAUUUAUCAAAAAUAAUGAAUUUUGGAUAUUGAUUUAUAAUGAAUUAAAUAAUGUCUUUUUUGUAUAGUUUAUUUUCGAAAAUAUUUGAUACUUACUCAAUAAAAUUUUAAGAUAUAACAAAAUCAUAUUUUAAUUUAAAAUAAUAACCAUAAAAUAUUUGAUGAGGACAGUGGUGGAUAAACAUAUUUGUAGGUACGCCGGGUGCAGGAAAUAAUUUCCCGUGUAGUGAGGGAAAGUGUUUUGUAGUUGAGCUGGUUUUCUCUGAUCGUUACUCUCUCCACAUGCCAAGGCUAUGAAGCUGACAUUUGGGACCCGCGUGCCUCGGGCCCACUUGUCAUCCUCACAACCGUGAUAUACAACGGUUUGUAUUUUUAUUUUUUUGUGUGUGUUUGAUGGAGGUUGGACCUAACACGACCGAUAGGGGGAAAUGUUGCCGUGUGGGUUUGGUUGCAUUAGGCCAUCGAAUUUCUCUCUCACAAAAAAAAAAAAAAAAAAAAAGUAAAGUAAAAUUUAAAUAUCAUCAUGUAGUUUCACACUUUCUCACUUUAGUAUUUUGUAUUUUAAAAUAUAUCAAUUUAAUACCAUAUGGUUUUAUUUUUCUCUUUUCGUUAGCUCUUUCAUUAAUUUUUUGUUAAAUCAUAUACAAAAAACUUCAGAUAUUCCACCUAUAAUUAAUCGAAUAUUCAUUUUAGUACUCUUUUGUUUUAAUUUUGUCACUUAUUUGACAGAAAAAAAAAUAAAGGGGAUAACAAAAGGAGAAAAAUAAAAUCACAAGAUACGAAAGUAAUACACCUUAAACCAUAGGAUACUAAAGUAAAAAAAUGCGAAAUCAAAUAGGUGAUAUUUGAAGUUUUUCCAAAAAUAAAAAUUAGGCCACCCAAGUAGUUUGAAUAAUACUUAAGUUUAAUUAUAAAGGUGGAUGAACAGAAGAGUGGGUGUGACCAUCUUGGAUUAUGUUAGAAUAAUUAAUGGAACCGGUCAAAAGAUAUAGGUAUAAUGGAUGUAGGUUUAUUUCCUCAUUCGAAAUUACAGCUACAGGACGUGCUUGAUCCGUCGUAUUUAUAAGAGCCAUAUCUUCUGCAUAUUUUAUGCACAAAAUAACUUGCUCAAAUAUAUAAUUUUUUUUGCUUAUAUAUAGGUUGGCCUAAAUGAAAUAUUCAACUUUACUUUGUUUUUGCUUUCGAAAUUUUUUUAAAUAAAUUAUUUUUUUUUGAGAGAUAGGUAGCACGCUAUCCGUUUCAUUUAUUUCAUUUAGAAAUAAACUUAGCUGAAAAUAUGAAUCAACUAGGAUUCGAACUUGGGUCUCAGGUACCAACCAUUAAGCCCUUUGCCACUUGCUCUAGGAACGAUCGGUUUUAAAUAAAUUAUUAUCUGUAGGUUAGUUUGAUGCAUUGUAAACUAGUCAAUUAUAAUAACAACCAAAAAAAAUUCCUCCAAUAGUGUUUAAAAAAGUAAAAAAUAAAUAAACAAGAUACCAACAAGGCCUCAAUUUGCAAUGUUUGCUUUUACCAUGUUUGAAUUAAUUAACUGGGUCCCGAUCAUGACUAGUUUGAAUUAAUUAUAUUUAAUUACCAAUAUGAAGUACAAGAGCAUAUAUGCUAUUUUCAACCAGCAGAGGGAGAAUACUUUUAAGAAUAAUAGUUCACAUAUUGAAUAAUAAAAUAAAUCUUAACAUAUAUAUGAUGUAUCUUAAGUUUCAGAAAUAAUUGAGCUUUCAAAGAAAAAAAGGAAAUAAUUGGUUGGGGUAUAUAUAAGCCAAAAUUCUUUUUGCUAUUCAAGGUAAUAAAUGUGGCAUUGGACUUUGGGUCGCACAACAAUCACUACAUUUUGUAUAUGGUAGCCCAUAUAUAGUUUAACAAUAGUUUAAAUUAAUUUCUGUGAAAUUGGUACAUUAACUACUAUUCACUUAUUGAAGACCAGAUAUGAUUCAUUGUUUAUCAUCUUGAUAAGAUAGAAAGUUUUUAAUUUGCAUUGGAAAACUUUGAAAUUUCAUACCCUUUGUGGGCAAUGUUGGUGACUGAUCUCAAAAGAGAGUGUUAUUCACUGAAAAGGCAUGAAUUUCAAACCCUCAUAAUUGUCUUUUAUAAUUGAAAAGAUGGAGAUUAGAAAAUCUCUAACCAUAUAUAUACAAAUGCCCAAUUUGAAAUAAAACCAUAUUAUUUUAUUUAUAGAGUUCAAGAAAAAAAAAUUUUCUCGAUUAAACAGGAAUAUAACCUAUUUGAGUAGAAAACAUAUGGCUUACAACUUGAAGAGAGGAAAAGCAAGCUUGUCCGCAAAACAAACUCAACCACAACAACUCUGUGCCAACUAUGGCCAAAAAAAAUAACAAAAAAAACAACAAAAGACAGCAAAAGCAAUAAAUGAGAGAAGGAUAAGCAGUCUUCGGCUUCAAACACAGAUAUCCAAAGUUUCACCUGGAGAGAAUUCUUAUUCCCAACUCUUCGUCCGAAUCAGGUGUUCGUUGAAAAUUCUUAUAUUUCGCUGUUUCCACAAUUCCCAGCAAGUCGUGGUAAAACAAAGAUCAAAAUUAUUUUUUUGUAGCCCCACCAACGGCAUCCUUACUCAUCACCGAGUCGUUAUAUCUUCAGAAAGAUUGGUCAUCAAGUGCUGUGUGGUCAGAAUACUUUGAAAAAGCCAAUUCCACAUGGAUAUCGCAUAGGUGCAACAAAAGAAGAUGUCUUCUAGGUUGUCUUCAUUUGUGGAGCAUAACACACGGAUUGAUGGGCUAUACCAACCUCGCUUAGCAGGUGUAUCGGCUAUCAAAACUCUAUUUCUUGCAGCUAACCACAUAAAUAAUUUUAUUUUGAGAGGAACCUUGAGUUUCCACAGGUAAAAGAUUUUGCAAUCUUUGACUCCAUCAUAGAUAAGAAAAUUAUUGGCGCUUCGUACCGAAAAUCUGCCAUUAUUAUUCCAUCACCAAAUGGUCGAGUCAUCAUAAUCAGACAACGAGAUGUCGUGCAUCAGCGUAUUGAAUUGUAGAAGCUCAUCUUGUUCCACUCGGCAUAUUGUGAAGAAUCAAAGCCCAGGUUGGUGCGCAGAGCAAAACGUUGAGUCCAGUUUUUGACCGAGAGGUGUUUAUGGGUCGAUAAGAUCCUGUUCCACUAGAGUUCAAGAAUUAAUUAUUAUAUAAUUUCACAUCUAAUACACAUUUUGGAAUGAGAAGAAUGAUGUAUAAAAGAAAACAAUGUUACAUUUUUUUUUGAAGAUGUGAUCUGUAGGCUACACGCAUGUAUACUUCAUGCUUGGAACGAAAAAUUGAACUCGGGUAAUAAAGUCCAAAGAAGUACUAACUGGUUUAGACAGUGGUGGUACUAAACUCUGAAAUAGUAAAUAUAACAAAGCUUUACUUUUAACUCUGCACAGAGAGAGAGAGAGAGAGAGAGAGAGAUGGGGAAAAACUUUAACUUAGUUGAUUGAACUAAAUAAUUUCUAGAUGCCGAACACUAUCAAUCUUAAUCCUUACAAAUAUUUGGAAGGAAGACACUGAUCAUGUCCAAUAUUGUAUACGCUCCUCGGCCACAAGUAGGACUUCUUGCGUGUAAAUAUACUAAUCUAUUAACUAAAGAAUUUAGUACUUACCGACCGCUCCUAAAGUAAGUGGCAAAGGGCUUGGUGGUUAGUACCUGAGGUCCCAAGUUCGAAUCUUAAUUGAUUUACAUUUCUAGUUAAGUUUAUUUUUAAAUAAAAUAAACGAAGCGGGUAGCGUGCUACCUAUUUCUAAAAAAAAAAGAAAAAAAAGAAUUUAGUACUUCUUAAUCCCUAGUUUUCAAACCACACUAGUAGGGAUUAGAUACCCCCACCUUUAGCAUGGCAACCUAGAUAACAAUCAUGGGCCGCGAUAAAAUACCGAUAAAAUAACAAUAACAACCUUAGCACUUCUUACACAUCAAAUCAAAUCUAUUUUUGGUAAGACCGCAAGUGAGAUAAUAGGGAAAGAGAGAGAGAGAGAGUAGGAUUGCUUUUCUAUACUUCUAAGUUAUUUUUGAUGAUAACAUUUUUAAAUCGACGAUUAGCUCCAUUAGACUUGAUCUAGUUAUUUGAAAAAUCUAGAAAAUAUUUUUUGCGAUUUUUCAAUAUCAUUUACUUAGGAAUAAAAGGGGUUCAAAAUUAAUUUGGAUUAAAACUGUAAUGUUUUUUGUGUUUUAUAUAUGUAUAUAUUUAUAUAUAACUAAAGGAAGUGCACAAUUUGGAAUAAAAUUGUAAUGUUGUUUGUUAUCAACCUGCAUGCAAUAUUUCUGAAUCCCUAACUUUGUAGAGUAUGGCAAAAAAAAAAAAGAAGAAAGAAAUAGUAGACAUAGAAAGGGAAAAUAUUCUGAAGUUCACUGUAAAGGAGUAAAACUGAGCUUGUAUAUAUAUUUAUUUAUAGCUCAUUAAUGAUCUCCAAACACUUCAAAGUGCAAUGGUGAUUUGUCAUUCUUAGAAUGAAAAUACUUUGUGCUCUGGCAAAUUCAUAUAGUAAAAAGUUCUCCUGAUCCUACUCCUAUUUUUAGCAGUAGAGAUCGACUCUAGAAGUAAAAUGCUUGUUACCGAGGUAAUUAUAAAUUUGUAGAUUCUGCUGUACUGUAGUAAUAAGACGAAAUGAAAAAAAAAAUUUCCUAAAAAAUAUUUAUGAUAACGCUCCUUCUAAAAACCCUGCUUAAGCAAACUUUAAUUAGCCAACUAGCAUUUACCAGUGUGCAGGUUUUUCCUGAAAAACACAAGCUCUAAUUAUUUGGUAGUUUUGAUCAUAACACUUUUCCUCAAAACCACUAUUCAAAUAAUUUUUCUAAAUGAAAUACCCGAGACCGUUCCAAAAGCAAGUGGCAAAGGGCUUGGUGGUUGGUACUCGAGACCCAAGUUCGAACCCUAAUUGAUUCACAUUUUCAGUUAAGCUUAUUUCUAAAUGAAGGUAGCGUGCUAUCUAUCUCUCUCAAAAAAAAAAAAAAAACAAUUUUUCAGCGACCAGCAUUUAAUUACCGUUGUGCAUUAGGGCCAAAUUAAACAGGCCCUUUAUGUAAGCUACUAAAUCAGUAAAUCGUACACUACUCAUCUUCCCAAACAUCAAAUAUAGAAGAAUUAACCCUUGAUGGAACAGAUUAUCUAGCAGCAAAGCGUUAAUGUACAUCACCCUUCUAAAGCCAAAAAAAGAAAAGUUGCUCUAGCUUUUUCCAAAGAAACAUUAACACCCCAAAAAAAAAAGAGAAAAACCAACUUAAGAGAAAGAUCGAGAUCACACACCACCAAAAAUUAACACUGCAACAACUACAGCAACAUCAUAUAUGUAGAUCUUCUAACUCUUAGGCGGUGGCGGCGGCGGCGGCUGCAGCGGCGCUUUACGAGGCGCAUUGGUGAUACCCUGACUUGCAGAAGAAGCAUUCGGAUCACCGCCGCUUUUAUUUAAGCCUUCUUUGCUGUCACUGCCACCGCUGCCGCUGACGCUGACACUGACGCUGACGCUGCCUGAUCCGGAGGCAGGCGAAGCCUUCGGAGGGCUUUCGUCGGCAGCGCUGAACUCCGGAGGAAGUGCUCGGGAGGGCUGCCGGCGGUGGCGAGACAUGGUUCGGAAAGUUCUUGAAAGUACUUGAGUGAGAUCAAGUGUUCUUUACAUGGUGGCAUUAAAUAGAGGUAAGGAGAAUUAAGAAGAGUUUAAAAAGGGUUUGUAUAAGGGUGUGAUCCUCAUGCGUCGCCAACGUAACGGUCAAAUAUCACGUAUGCAAGCUACAUGAGUCUCGCAGCGCAGACAAAAAAAAAUCUAGAAUACACCAAUUAUAUUAUUAAUAAAAUAAUUUUAACUAAUAAAAUUAUACCUUCUGAAUUGAGUUAUUUCAUCGUAGAUAAUAAAAAAAUAUUUUUAUUAUAUUUUUUUAGAAAAAAAUAUGAUUGGUUUGCUAUUAAUAAUGUGGUGCAAGAAUGACACAGAAUACUUUUUAUAAGCAUAUGAGCUGUCCACGUUGCCCAGACAUCGUUUACCACGUCGUCAGCGUAGACCCAUCCUUUGCCUUAUUCUGCCUUUGAUGGGAAAAAUUCUAGAAUGCAAUGAGUAUAUUAGUGACGUGGCGUAACAAACCAAUCAAACUAAUCCUUUUAAGAAUAUAUGUCCUAUCAUGAUUGUAAAAAAGUAUUUUUUUUGUACUUUUGUUUGAAAAGAAGGAAUGUGAUUGGCUUGUUAUUGACGAUGUGGUGUAAGUGUGACAAUGUAGAAUUCCUCCUUUGAUGGCUAUGUACGUACGUAGAUAUAGUUACAUAUUUUGUAGUUUCCUUUUUAAUGUCAAAAUAAGUUACUAGAAAAUAAUUUAUAUAUAUAUAUAUAUAUACAUAUAUUGGGAGGGGGGAUGACGAGUUUGAUAAAGAGGUGAUAAAAAAUAUAAAAAUUUUAAAUCUUUUAGAAUGUUAAGUUCUAAUUAAUGACGUGAUAGCAUACUAUAUGUAUUUCCUUAAAUAAAUUUAUUUUAGCUCUCUCAAAAUUUAUCUUUCUAUACAGUUAAUUAUUAAUAUAUUGGCAAUUCUAUAUAAUACAUAUAACAUGCGUGCAUUAUUAAGUUAAAUUUUACCAUAAUAUAACGCUAACGCACCAAUAAUAUAUAAAAAAUAUGAUAAAAAUUUUGGAGUAUACUCGCUCUUAAAACAAAAAACAAUUAAUUUAUGUGCUUUUAAUGCUAUCAUUUCUAAACCACACAUAUUAUAAAUGUGGUAACUAGCUAUCCCAUGAAAUUUGCACGUGUUUAUAAUUUCUUUUUUCUCCAUUCGUAGUAUUGUACCAACAAUACAUAAGCAUUGUAUCGCCAUAAACUAGUAAGAGCAAUACUGUAUUUAUCAUUAUAAGAAAAUUUUAUUAUCGGUCAGAAUAUUUUUUUUAACGACACUUGAAGAAAAUAUUUUCAUGCAUCCAUACUAUAUAGCAAAUACAGAAGUUUAAAAAAAAUGUCAUCAUAUAAAUCAUCUAUUACAAUCAGAUCAAAUUUAUUAAAAAAUAAAUUAUAUUAUUAUUAUAUAUAUAUAUUUUUAAUUUUGAAGCAUCAAAAAAUUUUAAAAAUUAAAAAUUUUAAAGAAUUCAAAAAAGAGACUAGCCGAGGCUUAUCUUUUCCUGCCAAUGGUUUAGACCGGUUCCUCCGUGUAGCCUCUCUAGUCACCGACACUGACAUGGGAAGAGAACAAAAAUAACAAAACAAAACUGACCAUUCUUAGGCUUUGAUGGUUGGUACUCGAUGUCGCAAGUUCGAAUUCUACUUAAUUCACAUUUCUAACUUAGUUUAUUUUUAAAUAAAAUAAGCAUAGCAUACUAUUUAUCUCUCAAAAAAAUAAAAUAAAAUAAAAUAAAAUAAAAUAAAAAGAAAAGGUGCACGGGUAAAAUGUGAGAGCGUACGUGUGCGGCUAAGUUCCGCUUCAUCCACCUCAUCCGUAAUUUAAUUAAACCCAACUCUCUGGGCAAAAGGAUGGAGCGCAUACGAAGACGCGGGAUCUUUCGAGCGUUGGAGGACGCGAAUGCUAUUGCUGGUGCUAAAUAGGGGCUUCUGACAUGGCGUCCGCGUGGCAGGGCCAGCUUAUGCUCCCGAUAUUAUUAUUCUCUGCACCCGAUGCAACCAGAUAUUUCGUCCAUUUAGAUAUCAAAAUAAGUUAUUAAGUGAUUAUUAUUAUUAAGUAAACAGGAGUACGUGGAAUAAAUAUAUUUACACAUGUAAAUAGGCCUGCUAUGUAUUAGAUUUAUAGAUGAGUUUUAUAGUGUUUAAAAAUUCAAGGCAUAUAAUUUUAUUAUUUAGAGAUCAAGUAGUUUGUAAAUGUUUAAUGGCGUAGAAAAUGAUAUGGAUUGAUUCAGAACAAAUGUUUAACAUGAAUUAAAGUUGUGAAUUUCAGAUCUAAUAAGUGUGCUGUUUACGGUGCGCGGUGCACCGGGUGCAUGCAAUAACUUGGCGAGCUGAUCCACGUACAGAGGACCACUAAUGGCCAUGAGUGGUCGCGAUCGCCUCGGGGGGAUAGAGACGGUUUUGGACGGACGCGAUCGCAUUAUUUGUGGGGGUUCGCUGGCUCUGUUCCUCUGCACUUUGUCCCGUCGCGUUUCUCCCCUCCCCCUGUUUUGUGGACAAAAAUUUUCUGGGCAAUUUGUCUGGGCACGGUGCCGGAUGGGCACCGCGUGUCGCAACCCUUGAAAAAAAUAAAAAUAAAAAUGGCAUGGUCCGUUUUUAGAGAGAGAGAGAGAGAGAGAGAGAGAGAGAGAGGUGGUUAGGGAUGUCAAUGGGUAUGAAUAUUCAAAAUUUUAUUCGAACCAGAAUCUAAAUGAAACGGAUAUAUCCAAUGGAUAUGAAUAUGGAUUUGGAUAUGAAUAUAAAAAAUAAAAAUCCGACGGAUAUGGAUUCGGAUAUGAAUUUUGAUUGUACCCAACCCGAACCCGAACCCAACCCGAACCCAAAUUUAUUUUGUAUUAUAUAUAAUAUAUAUAUAAAAAUUUGAUGUUAUAUUUGAAUUUGUAUUUUAAAAAUUUAAAUUUAAUAUAAUAUAUUUUAAAAUAUUGAAAAAAAAAUAAUUGUUUCGGGUUCAAAUUUUUGGAUUCGGAUUCGGAUUCGGGUUUCGAAUUUUUGGUUGGAUUAGGAUUUGGAUAUGAAUUUUUAAAAUCCGUCGAAUUUGGGUUCGGAUUCGGGUCUCGGGUUUGGAGUCGGGUUCGGGUUCGGAUUUUUAAAAAUUCGCCCCGAAUCCGACUCAUUGACAUCUCUAGCGGUGGUGAUGGGCGCCGCUACACACGCAGCGCCCAUCCGGCACCGUGCCCAAACAAUUUGUUUGGGCACGGUGCCCAGAAAAUUUUUGUCCCUGUUUUGUGGACGGUGGUGCCCAUCUCAGCAAACAUAGUUUUAAUAGAAUUACGCUUCAUUUGGAAUUGCAAAAAUAUUGCGUUACGUAUGGUAAAAAAUAAUUUAUUUUCGUACGCAAUGUUACGAUAUGCAUAUUGCGGUUAGUCGGAAAAUACAGAAGCAUAUCCCUAUAUACUGUUUCUCAACUCCAUUCUAUCUAAUAGCGUUAGAUAGAACUCAAUACCAAAAUAAGGCUUAGUUAUAUAUAGCUUUUUAUAAAUCAAUUGCCCCUAUAAUAAAUUAUAAAUAUAUUUUUUAUAAAAUUUAAUUUUUUAUGUUAUUUUUUAUAAAAGUUCAUUAAUAUUUAUAUAUUUUUUUAUUUGUUACUUUAUUUUUUUAACAGUAGAUAAGUAAAAUAUCAAUUUUGUCAUCACAAAUAUGUCUCUCUAAUUGUUCCAAUAUUCCAACUGCUAUAAUCGUACAAAAAAUGUCCUCUAAAAAAAUUUUAAAUAGUUAUUUUCUCUCUCUUUAAAAUCCAACUCAAUCCACUAUUGUUAUAAUCUAUUCUCUCAUUCUUUUUCUCUUAAACCCUUUCUUUUAAGCAAAAUAAAAAAAAUUAUAGAGAAAAAUUGAAUGAAAAAGUAAUGAGCGUUCGAUACGGGCGAAACGAUACAGUGUCGUGGAUGGAUAAGGAUAGAAAAAUUUUAGUUAUGAAUUCGAAACUAGUAUGAAAGAAAGAGAGGAAGAGAAAGAGAAAGAAGAAGAGUUUUUAUUGAGUUUGAAAUUGGUUCAAAUCCCUUCCAAUUGAAUUAGAGUUUGAUAUGUACUUUCAUUAUAGUUUAAUUAAUGGGGCAUCUAACAUGUGGCACAAAUUUAAUGCAAUCACUUUUUUGUGUGUGUGUGUGUAAUAUAUUUUGCCCAUAAUCCGAAAAAUGGCCAUGCAACUUGGAUUUCAAAACUUUGAAUAGGCAUUUUAGAGUUUUUACAGCAUAAUUUAAUUUUCUCCCUGACCAAAAUUAAUGCAUCAUAAUUUUUUUUUUUAUUAUUAUAUUUGCACACAAGUUAGCUAUGAAACUAAAGAAUGACACAAAUUUAAUUUUUAAAAUUUUUAAUCAGAUAAAUUAAAAUUUAGAAACCAAAAACAUAAUAUAUCCAUGUAGGAGGAAAACUAUGCGGGAGCAUCAUAUAUAUACACCGCAUAUAAGGCGGUGGAAGCGUCGGCAACCACCGUUCAUUCGCCAAUCAACUCAUCAACUGUCCCCUACAUCACUAGCCGUCCAUUCGCCCAAAACAAAUCUCUAUCCGUCCAAAUAGUCCCCGGUGAAUUCCACGCGUCCGCAUGCUUUUCAUCUCCGCGUACCGCAAGAGAAGUACACGUAAACAGACCUAUCGGCUAUCACGAGUGCGGGACUUUUCUCGGGUACAAUUGCGGGUACGCCAAGCGUUUGACGAAGAAUUUAGAAUCUCCGGGAGAAAUUGUUCGUUUUUUUUUAUUCCGCGAAUAAUCCCUCGGCAUCUUCGUCGCCUCUAUUGCGCGGUCGUACACCAAAAAGUCCCCCAUUCUCCCCCGAACUUUCCCCUUUUCCCUUUUACCUCUGUGGAUAAUCGGGGCCGUGGAUUGAUCGCCUUCUUUAUCUAACCCUAACCCUAACCCUAACCCUCUUCUCCUCUUCUUCUUCCUCCCUUUCCCGUCCUGCCCCAUCUAAGCGCAGCGCCCCCGCCAUGGCCACGGAGGAGGACCAGCCCGAGAUCUCCCCCUCGGCGCAUUCCGUGGAUCAGGUGCGAUACUCUAUACUCAGAUCUCCUCCCACUAGUUCGAGAUUUAGAUCGAUCUUUUCCUCUUAGAUCUGGGGUUGGAUUGGGCGUUGGUCAAAAACUGAGUCGUGUGGAUGUGGAUUAGGGUUUGAUUUGAUUCUUGAUGUGGGAUUCGUGCUGUUGUUGUCGGUGGUGGUGUUAGGUGGGUGGCGAUGGGAAGGGGAAGGGGAAGGGGAAGGGGAAGGCGAUGGGAGGCGCCGAUUCGGGCGCCGCUGCUGCAGAGGGGGUGGAUUUUGGGUUCUGCGCCAUUUGCUUGGAGAAGAUACUGCUUCAGGAGACGGCCCUUGUAAAAGGUUGCGAGCACGCUUACUGGUUUGUCAUUGCACUCGUUUAACUUCUCGUGCAAAUCAAAUGCUUCGUAUGUAUUUCGAGUUCUUGUUUUUUUUGUCAUAGCAUUUCUAUAUUCCACAUCUGUAUAAAGAAUUUCGGCCUAAUUGGUCCAUAAUAGCUUCCCAUGUCCUGUGUUUCUGUUACAAGGUUCUUGUUGAUGGUAAUUAGAUGACAAAGGAAGGAUAUGGAAUAGUUGAAUAAGUUUGAGACUGGUUUUGAAUGUUCAGGAAUAGAUGUUGUGGGCAGAAACUUCAUGGCAGUGAUCACAAUAAGAAGUCUUAACAUAAGGCAGUAGACAUGACAAAUUAAAACAGAACAAUUGAUAAUAUCAGCAUGGGAAAAGGCAUUCAAAUAUUGGUAAUGAGAAGAAACUGUUUGAGCAAGGAUAUUUGGGGAUUAGGACAGCUUCAUUUUAACAUCAGGAAGAAUGGGUGUUCAAAACCUUGUUCCGUCGUUAUCUUGGUGUCUGGAUGUCCUGUUUGCUACUUGUUCUCAUUGGUUGAAUUUCUUGGUGGCAGGAGUUUUCUGUUUGUUUGGAGUUAAGCCGAAAUGCCAAAUAUAUGAAAGAAUGCACUAUGUAACCUUCGAAUUGUGAGAUAUUUUUUAGCUUACAGUAAGACUUACCGGUAUUUUGUCAGAAGAACUCAGAUAUCCUGUCUUUGCUUAGACUUCUGUUUUUCAUUUAUUAAGCUCUAUGGUGUUUCACUCUCUUCAGUUGUUGUCAAAAUUCACCAACAUUAUGCUUAGCUGAAAUUCAACCCGGCUUGAGGAUUAUGCACUCAAAUCAUCUCUUAAUUUUAGAAUUUUAGAAACUGGCUCAGUGAUAAUAAUCAGGCUAUCCAACUACAAUAAGUCAUAUUACCUCUUGGUUCUAUAGUAGCCUUGUUACAAUAGUUGUACAGGAAACUCUGCAGCGGAAAACUCUGCAGCAUUGUAUUUCUCUCAUUAACAAUUUCCAACUCUUCGCUUUAUUGACGAUAUUGAGUGGAUAAUGGACUUGAAGUACUAAUUAUUCUGUGUUUCUGGAGGUUUAAUAGCCUUUUCUAAUAUCAAAGACCAUUGGUGAAAGAUCUUGAUUUUCUUUCCAUAUAACAUACUUUCUAUCAUCCUUUUAGACAAUGUCUGCUAGUUUCAUCUUUUGCUUUCAUUUUUUAAUGCUGAAGUUAGAAUGAAAUGGGAUGUAUUGUUAUAAGUUGAAGUGUGUGUUUUGUGAUAACUCUUUUUGGUUGGAUAAGGCAUAUAUAUUGCAUGAGGAGAAAUUUGAUCACAAAGUCAAUCUCGAGUGAUUGAUAGGGCAUAUAUAUGUGAUGUUGGCAUUAAUGUUAACCUUUUUGACGGGCUUGCAAUCACGCCACAAGUAAUAUGCGAUGUUGGCGUUAACGUUAACCUUUUUGACGGGCUUCUCAAUCAUGCCACAAAUAAAGUUAUAUGUAUUGGCUUACUCUUUACAAACAAAGACCCAGAGGUUGAAUAUUCUGUAUUAAUUGCUUCUCAUCUCACAGCUGCUUACAGAUUGAAUUUUGAUGUUUGUUAAUGUCAUCAUAACAAAACACAGUUGUUGGUCUAUAUUUAUGAUUAAAUAGUGUCGAAAAGCAAUCUUGUAAGGUGAGUUGCUGUGCUAUAUGCCUAUAUCAUGCCUCUGAAUAUGUUAAGUUAAAACAAUGUGGUAUUCAUAUAGUACUCGACCUGAAUACACUAAUGUUUUGAAUGCAAUACUUGCUGUGAUGGUAAUGUUAUGUCAGCACUGUUUCGUUUGUGCAGUGUGACAUGCAUUCUGAGAUGGGCAUCGUACAAUCAGAAGCCUUCUUGUCCCCAGUGCAAGCAUCCAUUCGAGUUCCUGGAUGUUCACCGCUCACUUGAUGGCUGGUAAAUUUCAAACAAUUGCCUUCAGAUAAAGAAAGGUGGGAAUUUUACAUCAGUUUAUACGGAUUAACUGCUUCCUUUUCCAGUAUUCAUGACUACAUGUUUGAGGAGAGUGUUUGCCUUCUCCUGCGAGCCACCUGGUUUGUGCCUCUGAAGGUGGAGGCCCAAGAAGAGGCUCCUGAAGAAGUCGAACUCUUUUAUCAAGAUGAGUAUGACCAGGAUGACGGUGGCGAUGAUUUUGAGGAGUCUUACUACAUGGGCAGCUCAUCAAGUGUUCGAAUUGGUAACAGGAGGUGGGGGGAUGGCGGCUUUGUGAGGUCGGGAAGGAAGCAAGCCCGACCUGUCAUACGUCAGCAAAUUGACAAUGAUGAUGCCGGCCCAUCCCGAUGCCCUAAGAAGGAGAAAGAGGCUUCUAAGGACGUGAUGGGGAGGCGCGCUAAAAGGGCUUUAAAGCGUGAAGCUGCGGACAAGGCAGCUGCAGCAAAGCACCAGCAGCACCUGCAGAGGCUGGGGCGCAUAUAAUCAUCCUUGCGAAGGAUGAACUUGCAUAUCCUUUCGGCCGCAUAAUAAUCUUCUUUUUGGAAGAACUGGGAUGCGCCCUUUGUAUAAUUUGGUCACCCUGCCGCUUGUGUACAGGAUCUUAGGUUUGUUGUUAGUUCUUUCUAGUUUCAACAUGGGAAGCUAUACCACAGCUCUUACUGAUCUAUGCGGUUAUAUCUUUCCUAUUUGAUUAUGUCUAGUACUGUCCCAUUGAUUUUAGGGUUCGGAAUUGCUAGUUGUUAAGGUCGUUAAGUGACUAGACUCUGCGGAUGAUUAAGCAGAGAAAUUUCUCUCAACUGAGACCUUGGCUGGUUGCAACAGCAAGAUGUACAGGAUCAUGAUGUUCUUAAAUUGCUCUAAACUUGAAAGCAGUUGGCCACUUUGCUUAAAUAGAAACUGAAUCCAUGACCAUUUUCUUUUUAUACUGAUAUAAUUAUAUUCCCGCUAGCACAAACAGAGAGAAUACCGUGAUGUAACGCCCGUCCGUGCAACUCAGCUUGGAAGAUGGUAGGUGUUUGGCCAUGCAUCGUGCGCAACUUGUGUAGCACACGACUGCAGCUGUCCCUUUAGCUCUACAUGCAACUGCACUAUUCUACAUUUUGAAAGAAUCAUCAAAGUGAAGCCUCAUCAACUGGCCGACCGAACUACUGAACCAAACACACCUAAAAUUGUUCCGCUAAACAAAGGCAUUUCACAUAAAACAUGCCACACUAACCACACCGAUGGGCCAAACAAAUCUGAAAUUAUUCCGCCAUUCAAACAUUUAUUGCAGAAAAGAAAACCUAUAUAUACAUCCAGUUUUGGUGUAUGAUAUACACUCCACCUAUCGAAUAAAUUUAAGCAAACAAACUCACCUAUUGAAUGAGCGGACUCUAUGAUAUGCACCUUUUUUUAAGCGUAUGAGUAGCAAUACUCUUUUCUUGUAAAGCAUGUUGGACGAGCUAAAUCACGUCUUAAAAAAAAGUCCGAAUACCCGUAAAAGAAUUGAACAAAAAGGAUAUUUCUACACUAUUUUGCCUGCUAAAUAAAAAUUUCUGUAUCCUUUCGCCCCAUCUUCUUGCGCAAUAGCUUUAGGCUAUCAUAUUUGCUCGCGAUUUAAAAGAACCAGACAACCAUGACAAAAUUUUAGACCACCACGACGCAUUUUUUGACCAAGCUAUUGUAAUUUAGGAUUUGCUAAAAAUCUGCUAGACUCUGUUUGACCCUACUCUGGCACAAUUAUUUGCUCAAUUUUUUUUUUUUUCUCUUGAGAUAGGUAGCACACUAUCCGCUUCGUUUAUUUCAUUUAGAAAUAAACUUAGCUGGAAAUAUAAAUCAACUAGAAUUCGAACUUGGAAUCUCGGAUACCAACCACUAAACCCUUUGCCACUUGCUCUAAAGACAGCCGGUUGCUCAACUAAGGUUUGAGCUGAUUAAUGAUAGUUUCUGUUAAUUUUCCGCUGUAGCAACAGCCCCAAAUUAUACUAUUCAUCUAACUUUCUCAUAAAACAAGUUGCUAUUAAAUAUACAAAUACAAGGGGAACCAAAAACAAAUUCAUUACUCGUGUGUCUAAAGUGGUUGCUAAUUUUGAAAAACCUAAGCUUUAUAUGCAUCUAGUAGUCGCACAUUAAUCAACAAGGCUAAAAUGACUAUUUUUUAUUUACAAGAUACAUGAGCAUAAAGAACCAAAAAAAGAAAAGAAAAGAAAAAGAAUUAGUAGCCAAAAAUCGAACGAUCCAAAAUUUCAAUUUUUAAAACAUCCUAGAAUUUCAAUCCAGCCGGUUGUUCGCGAGUUAGCUUAUGUUCAACUUGAAAUCAAGUCGCAUAUUUAGUACACAAGCCCCACACAAGCUAAAAUUUUCAAUUCUUCAAAUAUUUAUAUAAUUUAUAUUUAGUUAUGAAUAAAUAAAUAUAUAAUAUAUUUUAUUAUUUAAUUUUUAGCCCAACUUAAUUAUAAAAAAACUUAUUUAUAUAUAAAAUUUUAAUUAUGAGAUCAAAGUCUAAUUUGGCAAGUUAUUUCCUAAAUACUAAUCCUUUUAAUUUACUGUUUAUAUGCCAGCUCAUGUUAAGCUUAUUAAUAAACAAGCUAAAUAUGAGCUAAAUUUUUCAGUUUGAUACUUUGACGAGUCGGCGUAACCAUGAGCUCUGCGUUCGGCUCAUUUAUGAAACGAGCCCAACCAGAGCUCAUGUUCGGCUUGUUGACAGCCCUACUUGCAAGUAUCAUACAUCAUCAGAAGGUAAUUAGAUUUCCAUCCAAUUAAACAUAAUGCUUCUCAUCGACCAUUUCAAAUUGGAAAAUGCCAUCAAAAUUGAUGCACUUGUACUAUCAAAAAUGUACUAGUACACAAGGAUGGGGAUAAUGAUAUAUUCUGAGGAAUAUAUAUAAUAUUCAGCCAAUUAACCAUGACAAUAAUCGCACCACUCUAAGCUAAAACUUCAAAAUGAUAAAAUGUGUUCACAAAUUAAUCAAUCUGCGCAUAAAAUAAAACAGAGAAGAGAACAACAAAUGCCCUCAGUUAGCAGCCAAAAUGAAUGCGCAAUUAUGUAGACACCAAAAUGGAGCGAGGAGAAAAAGAGAACUCAUCCUAAAGUGACAAAAUUUGAUGGCGAUUAAUGCAAUACUCAAGCAGUUGAGAAGAAACUUAGCACUCUAAAUGCAAAGUAGAGCAAAGUGCAUCCAGAUUGAGCGGAAAUACAUCAUCCACAACGAGAAAUGCAUCGUAAGAUUAUUAGAAGACCAUGAAAUCACUAAGGUCGAUAUCGUUCUCAUAGUUCUCCAAAACGAGAAACAAAAAAACACCCAUGUGAUCUUAUUUACUGAAGAGUACUGCUAAUAACUAGAUGACAGGCAACUAUGACUUACUCAGUAACAGUUUAGUCUACUAGCACUAAUAACUCGUUUUAACCAUAAACCCAAAAUGCUUAAAACCCAAUAAUUAGUUCUAAUGUGUCCGUUACAUGUAAGCCCCACAUACUCCCACAUUAUCUAAUGUGUGAUUAUUACGAUGUCAAAUACACUCGACUGAUCCUACUCCUGUAGAAUCAAGAAUUAGUAAGAAGUAAGAACCUUUCAAAAGUUCUGCACAAGCUGUACAAUAAAUGCAAAACAAUCACUUUAGAGCAGCAACGCCGACACCUCUGACACCCACGUAUAAAACACAUUUGUAGAUAGAUUCCUGGUUAAACCUGUUACUCAUAUUUGAAGCAAAAGCAUAUCCACCACUGCUGUAGGUAAUAAUUUAACCAGUGAACAAGGAGGGGGAGAACCAUUGCUUGCACUUAAUGAUAUGAAAAUUUAUAAGCCAUCAAGAAACUAAUAGCAGGAUUCCAACAGCAUCCUACAACAGAAUGGUUGAAAAUGCUUCCAAGCAGAAAAUCUGAGUAGCUUGCGGACGACAUCUAAGCACUGUUACUAGCAUAAAGAAUGUACAGCAUAGACUGAUUAGUUAAACAGAUCAUUGCUACGUAAAAAGUAUAAAAGAAUAUUUUCCUAUUGGUAUUUGAUCGGUGACCAUUCAAACCAUGCAACUCAGACAACUUAGUUUCUUGGAACAACAUAGAAUAUGUAUUCCCAUGAAACUAAUAGCUAGCUCUAAGGUAUUAUAAUAACAAUUCCUAAUGUGGCCAAUUGAAGCAGCCUUAGCAAGACAGUGCAUUAGGUUGUCCCACACACAUCAUCAGAUUCAACAGUUAAAUGUAAGUUGUACGUCUUUGAUAGCAUCUAACUGUGCUUAAGACAUUUAUAGUUAAUUUUUUCUUCUGCUCGGAUAUUCAACCAAUUAUUUUUAUUAUUUGCACUCCUGUAGUAGAUUCUUUUUUUUUUUCUCCAGUGCAUUCUUUUAACUAAUAAAUGAUAUAAUGCAAUGUUAUAAAUGCUUUCUUCGAAGCUUUUCUAAUAGUAAAAAGAAUUUUCUAAUAGCAAAAAGAAUUAAUUAACGUGACAAACAGAUUGAUGCAGCUUCAUAUCAUUUGAAUGCAAGCAAGUAAAUAAAUAUAAGUAACAAACCAAACUCUCGAGGACAUUGCAGCCAUAAUUCAAACAACCCUCGAAUCAUGCCUAGUCAAGGAGAUUAAAAUUGCACGAUAAAAUUAUGAUUCUCUAUCAAAGACAACAAUCUAGCACAAAUAUAUGAGUAAAGGAUCCAAUAACUUAUUUUAGAAGUUCACCGAAAACAUUCGAGUCAUCAUAGGAACACUACUUCGCAUAAAUAUAUAACAACAGUUGAUAUUCUACUCCUAUAUGUUGCAAUAACUUUUUUAGUCUAUCUAUUCAACCAACUAUCAUAAGCAGAGCAACAGAAUCCAUCACAAAGGAAUCAAGUCAAACAUUACCAAAUCUAAUGAGGGGAAAACUUUAACAUGCAAACAAAGGCUAAAGUUGUCUAUCUUAGACUGUGUUUUUGAACUAAAGAAACAUUAUGUGUGUUUACUAACAAUAGCAUUUCACAUGAUGUCUCUGUACACAAGACAUGUUCUUUGUGGUUUCGGCAAAAAGCCUAGUGACUAUAGGAUGCCGAUAAACAAAAACCUUUGAACACUUUGCUUACAGAAGAAGGAAAAACCAAAAAAGAGACAACGGUAACAAUUAGCUAUGAUACUUUCCAUAAGAUAAAAAGUAAGCAGUUAUCUAAUAAAGAAAUUGUUAGCAAAAACAUUUAGAAAUUUAAACUUCACCAAAAUUUAAAUAUAGAAGUCACAAUCAAACAGCUCUGCAUUAAUGCACUACAAUGAAAAUCCUAAUCAACUAGUACUUUGAGCAACACAGACAACCAUAACAAGUUAUGCUUCCUGAAAAUCCUAAUCAACAAGCGCUUUGAGUAAUACAGACAAACAUAAUAAAUUAUGCUUCUUGAUUACAGAAAGCUUCUCAAGAGAAUCUGAUAAAAAAGAUACUCUUUAAGUGAUAAAAAGGUUAAAAGUAAAGAAAAAGUUGAAGAAAGAAGUGAAACCAUGGAAACUUCAUAUGAUUCUUCCCAAACUUGAGUUCAUAGGUUCUCUCCUGUGGUCCAUACAUGGAUACUUCAAUUCUCUAGGCACGUUCAUUCUAACAACAUAUCGAACACAAUGCUCAUCAGAUACUUCUUACACAUUCCAAAUUUUUUUAAAAAUAUGGUUGAAAUGUUGCAAUGGUUAGGAUCUACAGUUUUAGAACACUCCUUGAUUUUUGAUGGAAGGGAUAUGUUAAUUAACAUAUCCAUUGAUAAUGAGAAACCUAAAAAAAUAACCCAAAUUAAAGAAAACUUAUUAUGGAUACUGUACACACACAUGCAGUGGAUAAAUUAGUGAAGUAUGAUUAAAUAUUACAUGUAAAUAUUUGCAAUAUCAAUAUUCCAAUUAACUAAAUACAAGUGCAUAUAAUUGAUUUUUCUUCUUUUUUGAUUGUAUAUGAAUUGAAAUGUUUAUAAUAUGCACAUAAAUAUUUGUCUUCAUGUGGGGGCAAGCUGGCAUGCGCGCAAAAAAUGGCAAGUGCAUAUUUAUAACUUUAUCUCUAUGUAUAUCAACUCCUAUUUAUGUAUUUAUGCACGUACACGCAAGUACAAAACAUGUACAUUCGUUGAAAUAAACAUCGGGCAUCCUAGUUGAUUCACAUUUCCAGAGAAAGCGGCAAAGGGCUUGGUGGUUGGUACCCGAGACCCAAGUUCGAAUCCUAGUUGAUUCACAUUUCCAGCUAAGGUUAUUUCUAAAUGAAAUAAACAAAGCGGGUAACGUGCUACCUAUCUCUCUCUCAAAAAAAAAAAAAAAAAACAUCGGGCAUCCUUAUUUUUAAAGAUUUGCCAUAUUAGCAUAUUUGGAGUGUAACAUGUUAGCAUGCCAUAUCUGUGUCUAUGCAACAUAUGUAGUUUCUCUCCUCUUCUUGAGAAAGAAAGAUAGAAAAGGAGGCACGUGUGUUACGCCACACCCUCUUUCAGAUAAUUUAGUCAACUUUAUAUGGCCCAUGUGUCCCUCCCAAGCAAAAAGCUAAACCUUUCAGCAAUUUUCUGGCUAAUAAAACAAACUUCGUACAAUGAUGAUCUAAAAGUACUCGAUCUAGAAUACCAGCAGCUUAAAAAGUAUUGUUAGUUCUUAAAAACUUUAAAAGAAAUGCAUUCAAUAUACAAGUGCAUUCCUUGAUUCGGUGAAUGAAACUUUGAGAUUAUAUGAGUACAAAGUUAUUCGAGUCCACCUUAAUUCGAUACACCAUGAGAAUAACUUCGUCAGCAAGCACCAGGCUACAGAAAAUCUACAAUUUCCCGUCACCAUUUAUAAGAUACUAAGGUAACAUUUAUAAAUUAAUUAUACAUUUAUUUAAACCUCAUUUAGUACCAGAGCAUGAUGCGCCUAAAAUCAGCAUGAUGUAAAAGUUCCUAGACAAAAUCACAUUAUUUUCAACAGAUAUCUAGUAGAGCCAUUAUGAACUUGUCAUAAUCAUGCUUCCAGCUGAUAGUAGCAGCACAUACAGCUGGAGUUUUAAGAGUUUCAGCAAAACCAAGUUAAAUAACAGCUGUCUGCACAAACAAUAGGGAUUUGAACUUAUUAAAAAACACAAUAACUUUUGAGGUUAUUCAUUUUAUCUACUGUAAUUAUUAAAAACUUUUUCAAUUAAAAAGAAGAAUCAGUCUUGUCAGAAUUGACAAUUUUUACAUAUGCACCUUUAUCACAGAUCAAGUGACGAACAAACUGCUAGAUAAACUGAACUUUUCUCAAAACAGAAAAGGAUAAAAUUAAAACAAUUAGGCCCACAGAUUGAAUUGUUUUAAACAUGAUAAACCUCCUGUACACUAGAUGACUCAGUUUUUGGGGAUUUUGGUUGCAGCAUCAUAUGACUUUUAUGUGUAGUAAAACUAUAGACUACAAUUUCUUGCACUCAUGUUGAUGUUUGAACCUUUCCUUAAUCAACAUAUGACAGUAGAAGCUACAUGACUGAAAAUCUUGUCCUUGUAUUGCUAUACAUUUGACACAACAUUACAAAAACAGAAAAUCAUAUACAUCUUUGGCUAGUGAGAGACUGAUCCAGUGAAAUUUGCAUUUACGCCCAAAUAAAUUACAUUCUACUACACAAACACACAAUUUACUGUGUAAUAAUAUAUUUCCUCAUACAUAAAAUGACAAAAUGUUCAAGGAAAAGAUGUGCGCAUUCUUAACAUUGGCAUAAAAGCAAUUUCAGCUAAUGAAACAACACUAACAUAUACCACUGUACCAUAGAGUAGUGGCUCGGAAAAUUAUGUACCAACUACAAUAUUUCAUGGGAUAGCAACUACUAUCCUCAGUCUAGUAAACAACAUAAAUCGAAAACGAUGAAGAUCAAAUGUCCCAGCUAUCCUAUUCACAUUAAUGCCUCUAUGAAUAACAAAUUUCACACUUCAGCCUAGCCAUCUUUCUAAAAAGUUUCCAUGUUCAGCGGAAAGAUACGUUCUAAAUUAGUCCAAGCAAAGUGAACUACUACAUGCCGUAGCAACUACUAAUGUACAUCAGGCAGCAUCCAUAUUUGUUAGAAUCAGACCAACAGAAACUCUAUAAUAAUGCUCAAGACAAGAAGGGAGAUUGCUCUUAACAAAUCUAAAAACAAUAUGGUUAGGCUUGAGAUCUCGGCAAUCCUCUUUACAGAGAACACUGGUACCACUUAUUAUGAGAGACAACAUGUAUUAGAUAAAUAUAUUUACUAGCAAAAUAUAUGGAAAAGGAAUAUGGAUUCUUAUAUGGUACAUCAAGCUGUGAAUUGCCUUCAAUAAAGCUUGGCAUCUAGUCUAGAUAAUAACUGAAAUAACAAAAGAGUAAGUCAUUCUCUCAACUCUAUCUUAACAAUUAACUAGGAUUAUGACGAUAAAACCAACUUUGACCAACCAAUCUAAAUAAUAGUGUGUUAUUCCUGAACAAAUAACAAGAGGAGAAUCUUCACAUGUUCUUUUUCCUCAAUGACUUUUACUAUUGGAAAAACUACAAAAACCUGUUUUCACUAUAGUACAUUUGAAAAUUACUAGCCCUUGGUUCAAAGUGUAACACUUAGCUAUCAUGUUUUGCUUUUUAUCUUUUCCAAGGACCAACAGUUAAAAUAUAAGGCACAUCAGCUUUUUUUUUAGUGGAAGUGUCACAGCUCCAAUAAUUUUUUUUUUAGUGAAUGUGUCACAGCUCCUACCUUUCGAAGGAAUGGAAGUUCAAGUCAAAAUGGAAUAUAUCUGAUUUGUUGGUUUUAACCAACUAAUUAAUACUCCUAUCAUGCAAGUCCAAAUGGUCCACUCUAACCUUUGAAGAUGCAACGAUCCAACCUGCUAGCAAUAGUAACUCGUUGGAACCAAACCGUCGGCUCAAAAUGCUUAAGCUUAAUUACUAUUAUUAGGGUCCAUGAUCUGUUAUAUUCCCAAAACACAAUUCCGUUCUUAUUUGAUAUUGGACUAUUGGGGUGUCAUAGACUCCUUUUUGGGUUCUGACGUUUUUGUCGGCCCAAUCACACACACAGCAAAAAAUAACCAGGCGAUGUGAGGCCCAUCUCACACUUCCGGCUGAUGAACCGGCUCCGAUACCAAAUAUAACAACUCGAUCAGCUAGCAAUAAUAACCCAUUAAGCCCAAUCCACCAGCUUAAAAUACUUAAACCCAAUAAUUAUUAUUAAUGUGUCCUUCAUAUAUAAGCUCUUCGCAUUCUCACACAUUAUCCGAUGUGGUCAUGUGGGACUAUUGGAGUGUCAUAGAAUGAGGGUAACAUCAUCUCACAUCUCACUACUCAACUUCCAACUAUUAAGGCCUAUUUUAGUAAUGUGGCUAGAAGUACAAUUUUUAUACUUUGAAAAGCUCAAAAAAUUUAAAAGCACUUUCAAUCUUCCCUCCUUUCAUAGUCAAUUUAGCCUUCGCAUGGUUUAGUGCAAUUUUGCUUGCCUCCCCGGGGCCUCAAAAGUUGCACUUAACCGCCCUAUGGUUUUAUUUUUGUUUCAUCAUUAGAAAUUAACCGCUGUUAAACAAGCCAGUAAAGUAAUAGUUUUUUUUCUUAAAUAGGCUAGUGCAAUGCAGGUUAUAAGAUGGUAAAAAUGCUAUAAUGUAUCACCAUGUGGUUUAUAAAAAGUAUCACUUUGGUACCUUGCUUAACGUUUAGUUCUUACCUGUGAAACAAAAAUAAAACAAAAUAAUUAAGUGCAAUUUUUUGAACCACAGGGCGAUAAAGUGAAAAUGCGCUAGACCACAAGGGAGCAUAUAAAAAUUUAAAAACCAUAUGCUUCUUCAGUAGCGGUUGCCACCAUAAUUUUAUAGCAUUAAAGAAGGAAAAAUUAAAAGCACUUUUGAAAUAUUUUUAUAAAACCUUCCACGGCAUGAAAGUGGUUAUUUUAGCCACCACAUUACCAAACUACGCGUAAAACAGGAGGUAUGACAGUUGUGAUUAUAAGAUUAAAAUAAAGACUAUACCAAUCCUUCUUUAUUGCAACGGAAGAGACAAGAUAUCAUCUGCUUUCUAGGAUCCAAGCUACUCACAGCACUGGUGUUCUUUCCCAAGGUGUUGGCCUGCAGGUCUCACACGAUGUUCGGGUUGCAGUAGAACAUUGUUACACCUCUCUCACUCGCAUGCUCAUAAAAAGAAAGUCAUUAGGAAACUAAAGAUCAUAAAUAACUUAAAAAUGAAAAAGCACAAGAUAUCGAUUUCGAAAGGGAAAGACUACCACUAAAGAAUAUUCAGUCAGUGAUAUGCAAUGAGCUAGCCAAAAGAUAAAUUAUUAGAUAAGAGGCUUAGCUGAAUAACAAUUGCUAAUUAUGCAUCCAAAAAGUAGCAAUGUGAGCAGCAAAUUCAUUAUUAAUAAAGCUUUAACAAGAGCUAAGAGUUCAAAUAUUCAACAUUUCUCAUUGUUUACACGCAUAAGAUAAUAGAGUCACAUUCCUUGGCUGAAAAGAUGUAGAUGUUUUCAAUGACAUGACAGCUGAAGCAGACCUCACUUUGACCAUAUAUAUCGCACUACUAGAAAUACAACAUCUACAGUACCCAAGUGAAAAUGGGUGGCACUGCUGUCCAAAUAGCUUAAUAAAAAUUAAAAUAAAAUUUUUUUUGGGUAAUAAGAGCUAAAUCAUUCCACAGAAAACAACUAGAUAACGCACGGUAUGUCUUCAUCAAUACCAUGUUAAACUAACCAAAUUGUACAAUAAACGGCCUCACUAAAACCUAUUAAAUUCACUGUUGCACAAGCACAUUCAUAUGAUGAAUAGAUGGAUGUGAAAGCACAUCACGUCUUCAUAAAUGCCAACAAUAUUAUACACGAGCAAAUGAAUAUUUGAAAGCCUAGGAAAUGGAAAUGCCAACAAUAUCAAACAAGCAGGUGAAUAUGUGGGAAGCACAGAGGGCAAAUAAAUGCCAAUAAUAUCAUAGCAACACAUCCUUUCACCCUUGACGGGGUUCUCCCCCCACAAAGAGAAUAAAUGGGACUGCACAAAAUAUUAGGAAAGGCACCCGCCACCAUGCCUUUCCUGCUGUACAUAUAUGGCCCUUCGCCAAGGGAUGCAGUCAAAGAGCCCCAAUAGUUAACUUGCUGGGGCUUGAAAAGAUCAAAAGAGUUGUUCUCCACCACAUGCAUUACAAACACUUUGACAGGGAAAGUGUCAAUCAGAUACAAGUCCCAAUGCAUGCUAUGCUCUUCACAGCACACAUGCCCCUACCCACCUACAUAUUCCUUUUACUACAGAGAACGCAUUACUAUUAUUAAAAACUUAUUACUGUUACUUGGGUAGGAUGCUAGAGCACGCAAGAGAACACAUGAGAAGAGAUAGAAGGGGGGGGGGUGUCGGAGUCAAACAUUUCAACUCGUACACAAAGGAGAUCACAUGAGCUAAAUAGUCAAUAAUGGAUGCCUACAGAAAUCAUGCGCACCCGCAGUUGCACCCAAUCAGUUCUAUAUACGGAAACAUCAUUGAAAAGAGUAGAGCAUACUCAUCAGCGUAGUAACGUGUUCGCGAUACUCUCCCCAUCGUCGACCAGUAGGAAGUAUAUCUUCUACUUUUCUUUUCUUUUCUUUUCUUUUUUUUUUUUUAAAUGAUGAUGGAAGAAUAAUAAUGUCUCGAAGAAGAAGAAGAAGAAAAGAGGAAAGAAGCUAGCUAGAAAGCAACAUAGAUUUACAUGUUAUACAACAGCAACAAUAAUAACAAUAACAACAACAACAAACAAACUGGAACCAACAUCGCGCGCGCGUUGUUGCGGCGUUUUCACCGGUGCGUAAUGAUCUCAUAAUCUCAUGCACAACUAAACUAAAACAACGGAAUUAAGCUAACGAAUAGAGUCAUUUUGGACUCUUCAUUAGUAAAAGAGAGAGAGAGAGAGAUUGUGAGAGUGAGAGUGAGAGUGAGAUUGAGAGCGGAGAGAGUGGAAAGAGGUUAAUUAAUUUAUUGGGUUACCGAAGUUCGUACCUCCGAGGAAUCCGCCCCCGCCGUGCGGCCCGCCGCCAUAGACGUCGGAGGGGAGCAUCGGAGAGGAGGACGAGGCUCCGUUCCGAGCGCCGCCGCCGAGGUGGAGCUCCGAGAUGUUGGGAAUGGCGCUGGCGUUGCUGGUGGCGGCGGCGUGGUCGUGGUCGUGGUCGUGGUCGUGGUCGGCGCCGUCGUCGACGCCUUGGUCGUAGAGGAAGCCCUUGAACACGUGGCCCCCGAUGGUGACCAUCGCCUGGUAGGCAUACUGGUCCUCGCCGUCCUCGAUGGACGUCACCCGCACGCAUUUGAACACCGCCGGCGCCUGCACGUGCCGCGGCAGGCUCUCCCUGAAGCUCGCGUCUAGGUUUUAGCAAAACACCGUCUAUGUAUUAAUUAAGCACAUCGAACGGAGGGAGCGAGCGAGCGAGCGAGCGAGCAAAGGGAUGACAGAUGGCAACUAAAGCAAACCUUGGUGGCUGGAGGUGGUGUCGAAGCUGCGGGGAGGGGUGGUGUUGGAGGUGGAGGUGUGGGAGGUGGUGGUGGUCUGGGAGGAGAUGAGGCGGGGCUUCUUGGGGGCGGAGGUGGAGGCGGAGGAGCCGGCGCCGAUGUUGGCGGCGGUGAGCUGCUGCCGCUCGCGGCGGCGGGCGGCGGGGACCCACGUGCUCUUCACGUGGGUCGAGCAGUCGAAGCCGCGGCUCUUGCAGCACGUCCGGCAGCGCCGGUGGGUGCAGUCCUUCUUCGCCUGGUUGCCGCAGUCCUGGCAGGUCGACGACGACGACGACGACCCCGCCAGCCCGACCCCCGCGCCGCUCAGGAUGCCCGGCGCGUCGAACAUCGGGACGGGCUUCCUCAUGUAGGAGAUGGCGGCGACGGGUCUGCUAGGGAGCUGCGGCUGGGGCUGCAAGAACUGGAUGCUGGAGGUGGCGGUGCCGGGCUUGAGGGUAAUGAGGCCAAGUUGGGAAAGAAAGAGAUGAUAACUAAAGGGAAUAGUUUAAUAAAGUAGGGGCAAAAUAGGUAUUUUAAUUAGGUUUUAACUCUGGUNAAAAAAAAAAAAAAAAAAAAAAAAAAUCAAACCAGUAGGUCAGUACUAUACACCCCCCUAGCUCCUCCUCUCUUACACCCUCCCUCUUCUUCGCCCUUCUGUCUUUUCUCUCUCUCUCUCUCUCCACACCUGCGAUUUUCUCUCUCUAGUAUCUGGAUCUAUGAUCUCUAGAAUUCUCAGAACGAAAGUGAUGAAUCGGGUGGGGCUUUGUCCCAGGAGUUGGUCGGGGUUUUCCCUGCGGAGCGGAUGAGGUGGGUUCCUGCUUUUCCCUCUUCUAUAUCCUCUCUCUCUCUCUCUCUCUCUCUCUCUCUCCUUUUCUUUCUCUCCUCCUCUUUUGUUUGCAAAUUCUAUUUAUUUUUUUAUUUUUCUUUUUGGCGGGACUAAUUAUGGAGGGAGAGACUCUGAAAUUCCUUCUGAUCGAGAUCUUCUCGAUCACUCCCCUUCCAUUCUUUUUCUCCUCUCUCUUUCUCUCUCUCUCUCUCUCUCUCUCUCUCUCUCUCUAUCUUAUAUUUUCUCUCUUUGUUUCUUUCCUCGCAGGCUCCUGUCUCACUGCGGCUUCUGCUUCUGCUUCUGCGUCUGCUGUCGCCUGCAGCUGCUGCUUCUGCUUCUGCUUCUGCUGCAACUGCGUUAAAAGCUAAGCCACCCCACCUCCUCAGCUUUCAGCUCUAUAUCUCCACCCCUCUCCUCUCUAUCUCUCCCCACCCUUUCUUUUCCCUUUCUUAUUGGCUUCUCCUCAUCUUAUUAUUAUCCCCCCCAAAGUCACGUGACUAGUAAUCAAACUUAUUAUUAAUUAAUAAUUAAUAAUAAUAGUAAGAACGUCUACUGGAUAUAGUGUAAAAAAGAAAAAAAAAUUUUUACUAGUAGACAAAAAUUAAUAGAAAAAAAAAAUUAAGAAAAAGACAAAAUUUGGACAAAGAGGGACCAAUGACGAGGCGACACGUGUGAUGAAUUUUGGACCGGACCGAAGCGAACCUGAAGAACCGGUUCAUUAAUAACUUCUCGCGGCUAUAAUAAUAGGGGAGCGAAUAUAUGCGAUAGCUUUUACGGUCUAGUGCGCUUUUAGUCCUGCACGACUUGUAGUUUAGAAAAGCCCUUUCAAAGAAGAGGGGCCAUCGUGCAAAAGAGCCUGUGUUUUAGUAUUUUUUAGUAUUUUAGCAGCAAAGGUAACAUGCGCCCCCACCCCUCUUUCCCUCUUACUCUUUGAGAAAUUAUUGCCUAUUCCUGGUUCACCAUAUUACUUGUGCACUGCUAGCGUAUGUAACAUUUCAAUACUGCCAUAUGGGAUGAAAAGAAUAAUAAUAACUCAAAAUAUGACGACAAAAAAAAUUCUAAUAAUAAUAAUAAUUAGGUUUAAAUAUUUUUGAGUGUUAAUUUCGACCCACGAAGUUACUAGUGCUAGUGAAUCAGAUCGUUGCAAAUGUACAUUCAAUUAUUGAUAUUCUAAUAUCAUUUAUAGCAUAUAAAAAAACCAACUAGAUGAAAAAAUAUAGGUUGUAUAUAAUCUGGCUAGUGUCUUCACCUAGCUAAUCACUUAACUGGUUUUAUCAUCCAACUUUGCUAGGCUCUUAUCAGGUUUAGCUCAAAAUCUUUCAUAUUUAGUUUGAUUCUUGUAUAAUAUGCACUGAUUACAUUGAAUCAAAUCGUAUGCUAAUAGACCCUAGCACAUGUUAAAAUUAUUAUUAAUUUUACAUUAGAGCGUGUAUACAAAACAAGGAGUUUCUUGUAGUUUAAGCUUUUGGGUUCAGACGAUAAAAUAUAUGUAAAUAAAUAAACUAUUAAUUUUAAGUAUGUGGGGCAUGAUACACCGGGUGCAGGCAAGAAUAUCUUCCUCUACUUGCCCUCCAUCCCAACUGGUAAAUGGUUGGUUGCUUGGCGAAAAUAGGCAUUGCCGCAUCCACUAGAUUGUUCCCGUUCAAAAUCGAAGCUAUCCUUUCCCAAAAUCAAAAAAUAAAAAUAAAGAACAUGUACACGUUAUGCGACUAAAAUAUAUCUCCUUAAGAUAACGAAUACAACUACUAAAAAAUAAAAAUAAAGAACAUGUACACGUCAUGCGACUAAAAUAUAUCUCCUUAAGACGACGAAUACAACUACUACUACUACACACACACACAUAUAGAGAGAGAGAGAGAGAGAGAAAGUUGAGUUAGAAUACUUUCAAAAACAUCAAGAGUUGGUAUUUUUAAAUUUUUAACCGAUGUAAGGUUGAGAUGACGGUAAUAAGAGAUGGUAGGUGGAAUAGUAUUUGAUGCGAGGGGUAUUAAUAAUUAAGAGUAAAUUCAAAGGCUAGAAACUUAAGAGCACCAAGGGAUUGAUGCUUCUAAAAGUAUUCUAACUCAAUUUUAUAUAUAUAUAUAUAAGUUUUUAUAUUUUUAAAGGUAGCAAAUUAUUUGUACUUAUAAGUUUUCAGCUUUAGAAUUAAAAAAUAUAUGGUUAGGAUGAUGUCAGUCUCUUAGCACCCGUUUGGUUCGGGAUUAAGAAGUGGAAUAAUCCCUUUAACCCCGAAGUUAUUUCCAAAUAUCCAAUUUUAGUGGUGGGGUUAGUUAAUCCCACUCCCACCCCACACCAUUACUCCAACCAAACAAAACACUAUUUUAUCCAUUAUUUUUUUUUAUCUCACCUACUCCAACCAAACACUAUUUUAUCUAUAUCUGGACUAAACCCAAUUAUCAACCAAACACAAAAUUACUCUAACCCCAUCUUAACCCUGAACUUAACUCUAUCUCUGGAAUAACAAAUUUUUACUUAACCCUGAACCAAACAGUGGCUUAGGGUUAAGUGGGUGAUUUAUUGAAUAAUAUAAUUUAAUAAGUGUAAAUGAUUAACAGUACAGAUCUAACGGCUAAAAAUUUAUAAGUAUUAAAUACUUGUUGCUUUUAAAAAUAUCAUUGUCAAACUCUCUCUCUCUCUCUCUCUCUCUCUCUAUAUAUAUAUAUAUAUAUAUAUAUAUAUAUAUAUAUAUAUUAAAACGAGCGAGUUUUCAUAAAAUAGAUAUGUGCUAUGUCCCAAUUACUAUUCACACAUCAUUAUUGUCAGUAAAGUCAUGUCGAUUAUUAUUAUUGCUAUUAUUAUUAUUAUUAUUAUUAUUAUUAUUAUUAUCACUCGCUUGAACAACUCCUCGAGCUUACUUACAAGGGAACAUGCAUGUAUCCCGAAUUCAAACUUGUUGUUUUCAAACUUUGAAAGUGGUAGCUAUUAGGGUAGAAAUUUUUUGUUUGUUUUUUUUUUUGAGAAACUAAUAAAGCUUUCUCCUUUUUGUCGCUUAGUGAUUGAUAGUGAGAGAGAGUUAAUAGGUGGGGAUGAGGUGGGCAUGAGAGUGUAGAGUGGCGUGAUGCACGAUUAUUAUUCGCUGCAUCAGGUGCAUUCAUAGAAUUCAUAUUCUGCACAUAAUAUUAAUAAUUAAUAUUAUAAAAAUCAAAAUGUACAUACAAAGUUUUUCUUUUGAGCCAUAAGGUAACAACAAGCUAUACAACCGCUUUGUUUUAUUUUUUAAAAAAUGUAUUAACUACAAAUGUGAAAAUAAUUAUGCUUCAAACUUAGAACUUAAAACUGCAUUAGAUACUAUCAGUAUUCUAUUUAUAACAGUCGUAUUACAUAGUCUUAUAUCUCAUAUAAAGUCUCUUGUAUCACGUGAAAUAACAAAAAAUUCUUAUUAGAACUUCUGUUAUUGCACUUGGUUGUUAUUAUUUUCUACAUGAAGUAUUCUACGGCGUGCAUGGUACACCGGGUGCACGCAAUAAUUUCAGUGAGAGAGAUUAUGAUGUGAGGAGAGAGAGAGAGAGCGCAAGAGGGGCAGUAGUAAUAAUUGGUGGGGUGGGGACUGGGGACUGGGCACUGGGGAGUGGGGAUUGGGGAGUGUGGGGACUGGGGAGGUGGUGAGGGAAGGGACCAAAGCCAAAGGAGGAGGUGGGGCCCGGAUUGGGGAGGGAUGGUGGGGACGUCCGUACGGUCUCGCAUCUGCGACCCACCACCUCCGUAAAUUUAGCUUGGAUUGUCUCUGUUCGACGGUGGUUCUGGAGCACUGAACUUUGAAUCCGUGGUCCUUACCCUUUCCCCUCUCACAAACUUUUUCAUUUAAAUCAAUAUAUAUAUAUAUAUAUAUAUAUAUAUAUAUAUAUAUAUAUAUAGGANAGAAUGAUAGUAAUUUUCAAUUAUAAUGAUAGUAGUCCCCUACACGUUGUUUGGUUGGGAGACUCCCAUCAUACCUAAACACAAAAAAAAAUAAUGAGGUGGGAUUGCUAUCCCACCCCUUGUGUGGGAAUAGAGAUGGGAACAACUAUUCCACCUCUAUUUAAUUUUUUAAAAUUUAAAAUUAAAUAUUUAUAUUUAAAUUAUAAAUUUUAAAAAUUUAUAAUUUGUAAUUUUAAAUUUUAAAUUUUAUAAUUUUAAAUUUUAAAUUAAUAUUUUAAAUUUUUUAAAUUUAGAAUUUGAUAUUUUAGAUUUCUAAAUUUAGAUUUAGAUCUUUAAAUUUUUAAAUUUGAAAUUUAAAAAUUUUAAUUUUAAUUUUAAAUAUUUGAAAUUUAAAAGUUACAUAUUUAAAUAUAAAAUUUAAAAAAUUAAAAUCAAAUAUAAUAUAGGGAGCAAUAUUAUUAUUUUCUAUUUAUAACUAUCCGCUAUUCUUGUUAUUCCAUUUUAUCUAUCCAAACGCUAUUUUUUUUAUUUCCGAAAACAACUCAAUUUUCAUUCAAAUACAAAAUUAGUCUAUUCCAGAUUUAUAUUUGAACUUAUACUUAUCCCUAGAAUAGACAGUCCUGGCUUAUACUCAAACCAAACGAAGCCUUAGGAUUGAGUGGGUGGUUGGUUGAAUAGUAUAAUCUAACGGAUGAAAAUAAUCAAAAGGUAGAGCAAAACUUAUGAAUACAAAGAGAUCUAUACUCAUAAGAGUAUAAUAGCCGAACUAUAUAUAUAUAUAUAUAUAUAUAUAUAUAUAUAUAUAUAUAUAUAUAUAGUCCAGUUACUAUACUAUCGGUAGCACGGAGGCUUCCGUACUACCAAGUUGUUUUCGAUGAUAUGGCUUCCAAAUCGACGAUCGGCCCCGUUAGACUUGAUCCACACUAUUGAAAGUAUUUGGAAAUUAAAUUUCAAAACUUUUCGACAUCAUUUGGUUAGUGAUCAAAAUGUCUCAAAAUUGACAAUUUUAAUAGUAGAUGUGAUGCAUUUGUAAAUUUAACAGUGUAAAAGAAUCCAAAUCAGAUUAAAAUUUAUAGAAAAUUUUUUUUACUAUUUAGAGUAAGAUCGGUACCUCUGAUCUUAAAUUCAAAUCUUCUAUCAUUAUUUUUUAUGAGAUUUUUAUUUUCAGUUGUUCAUUUUUAGACUACUCUUUUGAUAGGUAAUUGAUACCGAAAAAUUAUGAAAUUUAGUUUCCAAAUACUUUCAAUAGUAUACAUCAAGUCUAACAGAGCCGAUCGUCGAUUUGAAAGCAACAUCAUUGAAAACAACUUGGUAGCAUGGAGACGUCCGUGCUACCGAUAGUAUAGCAGCUUAGUUAUAUAUAUAUAUAUAUAUAGGCUGUGGCUACUAUACUCAUAUGAGUAUAGAGCUCUUUGUACUCAUAAGUUUUCGACCGUUCAGAUAAAAAAUGUGUGGCUAGGAUGAAAAUGGUUACGAUGGGUUGAGUGGAUGGUUGGUUGAAUAGCAUAAUCUAACGGAUGAAAAUGAUUAAAGAAUAGAUCUAAUGGCUAAAAACUUAUGAGUACAAUAGACNCCCCUAGGGUUGAGUGGAUGGUUGGUUGAAUAGCAUAAUCUAACGGAUGAAAAUGAUUAAAGAAUAGAUCUAAUGGCUAAAAACUUAUGAGUACAAUAGACUCUAUACUCAUAAAAGUAUAGUAGCCGGACGCUAUAUAUAUAUAUAUAUAGUACAGAUACUAUAUUUUUAUAAGUACAAUUGCCUUCGUAAUCAUAAGUCAUUUUUUAUGAUAGAGUUUCCGAAUCGACGAUUCAUAUCGUUAAAUAUUAUCUAGAGCAUUUAAAUUUCUAUAAAUCAAAUUUUAUUUUACCUCCGUAAAUAUUCGUAUUUUUAUUUUUCCUUCCUAACACUUUCAAAAAAUUAUAUUUUGCACCCUUUAAAUUUUAACAAUAUUUUUAGGCCAGUAUAGCUUUAAUGAAAAGGGCAGAUGAUCAAGUUGCUCUUACUUCUUUUUAUAAAAAAUAAAAUUUUAAUAUAUUUAUGUUAUUUUAAAAAAAUAUUUUUAGUAUAAAUUAUAAAAAAUUGACGGAAUAAUAAUCGAAUCCUGAUUGAAAGGGGUUAAAUACAACAACUUAAAAUAUGGUAAAACAUAGAUUUUUGCAAGUUAGGAAGGCAAAUAUUUAUAAGAAAGUUUUCUAUAAUUUGACCUAAACAUAAAACUUACAUUCCUUCAUCCAUAAAUUAAUAUUUUAUAUUUAUCUUAUCAAUUAUUUUUUAAUAUUAAAAAAUUAAAAGAUUAUUUUUUAAUAUUUAUUUUUUGAGUGUACAACUACUAUUUCUCAAAAAAUUAUAUGUUGCUAAUUAAGGUUCAAAAUUUUUUGUUAUUUUAAAUAGUAACAAAAUUUUUGAAAGUAUUAAUUUCUUAAAAAGCUUUGUAAAGUCUUAUACAUUUCAUAUAGUUUUAAUUUAUUUUUUUUAUAUAUUUAAUAUUUUAAUUUAGAUAGAUGUUUGUUUGGCCAAAUACAUAAAAAGAUAUGCCAGCAGUUGUACUCGGAAAUGAACAAUUUGAGAUCGACAGUAUAAAAAAUAUAUACUAUCCUUAUGAUAAAUUUUGAGCUUUUAAAAAUUUAUUCAGUAAAAGCACAAUUUAAUUAGGUAAACUUCAGUUAAUAUAUUUUAAGUGCUUUUUCUUAAGAAUUUAAAUAUCGUGGUACGGGAUCGUGCCGGAAACUUACCGACACGGUACGGUAUGGUGCAUGCUGACCCGUGCCGAUACGUGCCGGUCAAAAAAAAUAUUAUAUUCUAACACAUAAUAGCAUAAAAUAUUUAUUUUUUUUAGCAAUAAAAUAUUCUAACUAUUUAUUAUGUCUUUUUAUCGCAUCUUUUAAAUUUUAUUGAGAAAAUUACUUAUUAAUUUAAAGAAUAGAGAAUUUUGAGUUGUGCAAUCAAUACUGGGUCUGUAUCGUGUCGGUAUCUUAUUAGUACGAUACGAUAUGGCGGAUACAGUUCGUGCACUUAAAAUCUUUUUUUUUUUCCCUUGGUUUAAUUUUAGUCCUAAUAUAGCUAUGAUAUUUUAUUCUUCUAAAAAGUAAUAAUAAAUAAAUAAACAAGUAUUCUAACACACUCGGCUCCUUUUAAGUGUCCUUAGCCAACUGUCCCUAAGGUUGUGCAGCUCUAGCUCUAGCUAUAGCAACCUACUAGUUCAUUUAUUAAAAAAACUAUGCAGGUUGCUUGCAUUGUAAUUAAAACACACCAACGAAUGGGAGAGUUAUGGUGGGAUGUGGGCCCCUCCUCUUCUCCCUCUUUUUCUUUUUUUAUUUUAUUUUAUUGUUUAUAUGUUUAUAUUUGGGAAAACUUCAAAAAUCCCCCCGUGAUUUCAUACUUUUUCAUUUUAGUAAUCUGUGGUUUGAAAUGUAUCAAGUUAGUACCCUAUGGUUUCAAUUUUUUUCACUUUAGUAUCCUAUGGUUUAAAAUGUAUCAAGUUAGUACCCUGUGGUUUCUCACUUUAUCACUUUAGUACCCUAUGGUUUUACACUUUAUCACUUUAGUACCCUAUAGUUUAUAUAAAUCACAGGGUACUAACUUGAAAAAAAAAAACACAGGGUACUAAAGUGAUAAAAUGCAAAACCACAGGGUACUAACUUGAUACAUUUUAAACCACAGGUUACUAAAGUGAUAAAGUGAGAAAUUACAGGGUAUUGAUUUGAUACAUUUUAAACCAUAUGGUACUAAAAUAAAAAAAGUGAAACUACAUGGGAGAUUUUUGAAGUUUUCCCUUAAUAUUUUGGUACAACCCUUUCUUAUGCCUAGCUAUAUAUAUAGCUUAGCUAGUAGGGAGAGAGUGGGGUGGGGAGAGGGUGCCAUGGGCAUGAACUUGGACAGGUGGUCUUUUGUCAGGGGGUCAGGGAUAGAUAGGUGGAUAGAUUUCAGGCCUAUUUUUAAGUUGUCUUUGCUGCUGAAUGUUAGGUUUGUGGGAGAGAUGUAGAGCUAGCUUAUCUGGAUCUCUUCAAGCUGCACAGGAAUCUUAGGAUUCCCACAGAAGAAACGCCCGUCGAUAGCGAUGACUCGGACUUAUUCUGUCACUCUAGAUGAACGGUAAAACCGUCAAGAAUGUAGAUCUAUUGUUCAUGUCCGAACAAAAACUUAAUUAUCAGAAAACGUAAAAAAAAAUUACAUAACAAUGAUGGGUUAAGUUCAUUCAGCCGCGAACAUGAUAUAGGAUUGCUACGUUUAUAAGAUUGUUCUUGCAAGUUGAACUGGAAUUGUAAGAAUGUGAGACAGCAAAAUUGACAUAUUGUACGAAGGAAUUUUCUCCACAUGAAGUUGCAGAGUGUUAGUAUAUAUUUCUAGGCUCUUGUUUCGUACUAAAUCGAUCUUUUAGAUAAUACAGUAUUUAAGCCGUUUCUAUCCCUCUCAUGUGACAUUUAAUAAAUUUAAUUAUAUAAUGGAAUAAAUUUUUAUACUCUAUUUUAUUUAUUAAUUCUUUUUUAUAUUCAUCAUGCACGUGAGUAUGAAUGUUAAUAUAUAUUUCUGGAAUUAUUUUCUACUCGAUCACUAUUUUGGGAAAUACAGGGAAUUUGAUUUCCAUGAUAAUUUAGAUUUUAUAUAGUGAGAACUAUAACAUUUGAUUUAAAGAUAUUUAUAUCUUUUGAAGAUAAAGUUUAUAAAUUGAAUUUAAGCAAACUAAAUAACAAAAUCGUGAGAAAAUAAAACUGAAAAAUAUCAAAACCCACCAGCGGCAAAAUUGGCUGGUUUGGUUUAUAUUUGAGAUACUCUGAAAGCCAUCAAAGGUUAAAAUAAAGCUUACAUAAAAUUUUGAAAAGUUACUAGUAAAACUUAAUUACCCUAUCAUUAUAAUGAAAUUGUCACUAAGUCCAAGGAAAUAAGCAUACAUCAUAUCUCCGUUUAAAAGUCUCAACUCAAAGCAUCGAUAGUUAACAAAAUUGGGUUCGAGUCUAAUACUGAUAAGAUAGGAUCACAUGCUAGUUAAACAUGUUACUAGCUAGCUAGGCCCGGUGUAAUUUUAUUCGAUAGAUCUUUUAAAUAACAUGGUAUCAGAAUUCAAAGGCAAUCCUAAUUAAGCUCCCCUCUCCAACUCUAAUUACCUAACUUGCAAUUAGUUCAAAGUGUCUAUCAAAUCUAUUAUGCACUUAAACAAGUUGUUUCCUAUCAAAUCAAUGUUUUUGGAUAAUAAUACCAAAUCUGUUCACUCAAUGCGAUAACCUUGUUAAGAGAGGGUGGACUGGAGAUACAGUCUGUGUGUUGUACAGGGCCCACGACGAGUCUGUGUACCAUCUAUUCACUCAAUGCGUCGUUAUCAAGUACAUCAUGAUGAUGGGACUCGAGGAUUUCCACGCAGAGGAACUGGGUGACGAUGUACUGGUAGUUUGGGAUAAGUGGACGGAAAAGACUGCGGUGCGCGGUAGAAGUAAUGGACUUUCUGAAUUGGUCGCAUGCUGGUGGACGAUUUGGAAGGCCAGAAAUAACCUUAUCUUUCGUAAUCAACAGCUCGACCUUGUUUUGGCCGUCCAAAGGUUCAAGAUAUUGUUAACUUCGUGGAAAGAUCUGCUUUGAGCGUUGUUUUUUUUUUUUUUUUUUUUUUUUUUUUUUUUUUUUUUUUUUUUUUUUUUUUUUUUUUUUUUUUUUUUUUUUUUUUUUUUUUUUUUUUUUUUUUUUUUUUUUUUUUUUUUUUUUUUUUUUUUUUUUUUUUUUUUUUUUUUUUUUUUUUUUUUUUUUUUUUUUUUUUUUUUUUUUUUUUUUUUUUNA